CAGAGUACUUCAUGGGACAGACUAACAGAAUUAUAGUUCACGUCUACAGUAUACCAUAUGCAAUUAGGUCAAUCAAAAGUAUAGAGAUCUUUUUUUAGAUCAAAAGUACAGUGAUCUUACCUGUACAGGUCGUGACAAGAAGUUCGUAAUGUUGGCCAAUCUUAACAUUAGCAAGAUCCACAAUGUGAUCUUUCAAGUGAGCAUCCUUGCUAUUGGUGCAGUUUGGAUCUUGAUGAUUGCCAAUUGGUAUGAACUCAUAGUAAGCCAUGUUUGGUAUAAUAGUAUAUGAGACAUCAUAAGGACUGCAUAAUGGUUUCAAAUUUAUCCCAAAACAUGCCUCUGAAGAAACAUAGGCUGGUGAAACUACAGGUAACCUGCCUGUAUAGAAUUCAAGCGCGGGAAUGUACUGUGCCAUGGACCCAGUAAUUUUGGCCUGGACAAACUUAAAUUAUAAAACUAGAAUUCUCCUUUUCUUCCACUACUUUAUAUUUUAUUUAUUAUUGGUCUAUUGUCAUCCAAAUUGUAAUUUGUUUAACAAAGAUAUAUAUAGGCUACCACCAUGUUGUGUCAAUAUAAUGUGUUUUCAUGAAAUUUUAUAGAAAUUUAGGAACAUAUUUGUUGUACAUUUAAUUUAAUUCACACAUUAUUUUAUUUUAAAAGCUUUAAUUGUAACUACUUAAAACCCAUUGGACCAUAAUGAUCCAAACUUGAAACAUUAGGGACUAGAAAUACUAAUUCAAAACUUUUGACUAGCGCCAAUUUGAUGUUAACUAUUAGUUAUGAUGAUUUUUCAUUAGUUGUCCUAAAGCUGUCUAAAAUCACGAAUUUUGGGGAGUAAAUUUAUUUUUUGUGAAAAUAUUGGGGACUAAUUUGGCAUAUAGUCUAAACAUUGGGGACCAAAACUAUAUUUCUCCCAAAUAGAUAAUCCCUUGUGUUAUGAGAUUAUUAGAUCUCCCCUUACCUAAAUUUCCACAUGUUUUACUUUCCAUUAUACGUAUAAAUUUCAUUUGGUGGUCAACUGGGGGAAGGAACUUUCUAAAAUUGCUAAGCAAUUGCAUCAUACAAUUGAUGACCCACGUGGUGGUGGUGAAUUUGAAAUUGGAUUGAUAGGGUUGAUUGUCAAGACACAAUUAGUUGCACUGAAGAGAAAUAUUCAUUUUAAUUUUGAAUAUUGUUGUAUUACUGGUAUUUAUGAGAGUUGGUUUAGUUGGUAAGAUUUGUUCACAUUAUCUAAUGAAAAUUCAAAUAUAAUUCUCGUUAUCAGCAGUCUCUCAUUAGCAAGUAAUCUAUAAGAACCACUAUAAGGCGCUCCAUAUGACAUGGAGGAUUUCGAGGUGCUUCAUAUGACAUAUGGAGAAUUUCCAAAAGAAUUUGUCAUGCAAUUUCCUAGCAUUGUUUGUACCGAUAAAUACGUCAUUAGCCUGCUUUGAAUUGGAAUAAGAUAAUAUUUUUCUCCACCCAAACUUUAUUAUAACCAAAAAGAAAUUAAGACUACAUGCUUUUUUUGGUGUCCUAUUAGGACUGGUUCAGAUCAAACUAGUUGAAAACAAUGGUCGUGUCUAGAUUUGUUGCUUUGCUAAUAACUUAGCGUAGCAAAUACAACGAAUUCAUAUAUGUUUCCAUAAUUAACGUGAACGUACUGAUCUAUAGAAGAAAGUUAUACUGUUUUUAAUGUGAAUGAAUUUAGGUUAAUUAAAGUAGCCACAUGCAAUCAGGCUCAAUUACAAUUUAGCAGAUCAAAUAUUCAAAGCCAUGAAAUGAACUUUGGUUUAUGUCAGUAGCUAGCUAAAAAGACAGUUGUGCCAUCAGAAUUUCUAGCCUUGAUAAGUUCACCCUUCUCAUGCCUAGGGGUGCAAUCAAGUCAAGCGGGCUCGCAAGUAGUCAAAAGCUUGGCUUGAGCUCGAGCUACUCAUUACAUUCAAUGAGUCAAGUUCGAGCUCCAAAAAUAAAUAUUCGAUUGCUCAACGAGCUUAAUAGAGUUUUUAUAUUAUAUUUAUAUUAUAUAUUUUGAGAAAAAAUUUAUAGAUUUAGUUCAAAACUUGAGCUCGAACUCGAGUAGGUCGGGUUUGAUAUUUAAUCGAACUCAAACGAGUCGAGUUCGAUUUUAAUUUUAUUUUAUCCAGUCGAGCUCGAGUCCAAAUUUAUUUACUCGUUCGAGCUCGAGUUGAACUGAUUCUGAUUGAGUUCGAGCUCGAGUAUGGUGCUACUCGAGUCGGACCGGACUCAGCUCGAUAGUACCCUACUCAUGCCAUUGGAUAAAAAUGGCAUUCUCCCAUCGGAGGAGAUAUGUCAUUUGAAAAAGUUAAAUGCAUGACCCCUGAGUUUUUACCCCUUGAAGUUUGCUUGUCUCAACUAAGCAUUUUGACUCCAAAGGAGUAUGCUCAACUCUGUUCUCAUUGUCAUAACGACCAAUUUACCCAUUACUAACUAUUACACCUUGUCCGGAACGAAUUGCCUUAACGGUGAAUUUGCUAUGGCAAAUCUGGAAGUCAAGGAAUGGGAGGCAGUUUGAUGCUAAAGGAAGGGAUCUGAUGGUAGUAGUUCAGAAAGCUAUAUUGGAAUGGAGGGAGUAUCAGGAAGCUCAAGAAGCAGAAGGGGAAUCAAUUUGAUUUAAGAGUGGUGGAAAAGAGGAGCUGAGUGGCUGGAAGGAACCAAGUGAGGCGUGGAUCAAGAUUAACUCAGAUGCAGCUGUUAACCAAAAAGAGGAUAGAGCAGGAUGGGGAUUGAUUGCAAGGACCUGGCAAAGGAAAAAUGUGAGAGCUUGGGCAGUUCCAAAUACAAGCUGCUCAAAUCCCAAGCUAGAAGAAGCAUUGGCUUUAAGAGCUGUCAUGUUAGUGGCAAAAAGUCAGGGUUAGAGAAGAGUGGAGUUUGAGUCAGAUUGUAAGCAAGUAAUUGAUGGAAUAAAUACAGAGGAAGAUGAUGCAGCCAUUGCAACAGUGCUCUCAGACGUUAAAAAACUAAAGUCCAGUUUUUAUGAAUGUUGUUUUUCCUUCACUAGAAGGAUUAACAACUCUGUUAGUCAUUGUUUGGCAAAUUUUGCUAUUAAAUUGAAGGAAACCGCUAAAUGGAAGUCUGACUUCCCAGCGUGGUUGCUUGAGUUGGUUCAAGCAGAUUGUAAGGGCAGUUGCCCCAAAGGAUGUAAUCUGGAUUUGUCUAUGAAUGAAACGUUGCCGUUUUGAUUAAAAAAAAAAAAACUAUUAUACCCUGUCCGGGUGUAAUAGCAACCAAUCUGGGUAUAGUUACAUCCAUGACAUCUAAAUCCAAUAAUUUUCUAAACUCUUCUGGUGGUAUGUCAACGAAUUCAAUUAGGGUGCGUUUGAUAAAACUAAAUAUUAAAAAUUGAAAUCCGAAAUCUGAAUUCAUUAAAUAAAUAAAUUGUUAAGCAUUAAACAUGAUAUAUUUGGGUGUAUUUCACAUUAUGUGAUAAGUGUAUACACUGUCAGUGUAUAUAAAUUUACCCUAUUUUUUAGAGCAUGUUUUGAUUAGAAAAUUUAAUGCCAUUUAGAUGUUAUAUUUUUUAUUAUCAAAAGCAUCAGAAUAUAUUAUGAUCUGAACUUAUUAAAUUUAAGUACUGAAUUGGGUUAUUAAAGAACGCCUUAAUUUUACUAAAUAAUCCAUGCACUUGUUACCCUCGUGCCAUUCAUACUUCAAUUCCCACUUCCAUUGUUUAGCUAGCCAACUUUUUAUAUGUUAAAUUAGAGUGUAGUGUGGGAUUUCCCGAGGUGCCUUGUCAUUUAGCUCCAAACUCAUGUUUGAGUCUGAUUCUUUUUUUUUUUUUUUUUGUCAAAAGUCAUUCAUUUAUAUCAUCAAUAUCUUUGAUACAGACAGAGACAUGUACAUACUAGCUGGCAGCUGCCAUAUAAUCACUUUGUGCAGCCAUAGAGGUCCACACAGGGAAGCUGUUCUUCCACCUAGUUUCAUUAAUAAGGUUAGUGGCAAAUUUUGCCAAACCAUGACUACCUGUGUUGAUUUCUCACUUAACAAAGGAGAAAGUACAAUGCCAAAAAGACUUACUUAAUGUCCUGAUAUCUCUCAGGAAAAUGUUGAUGUCAGAUAGGUCUUCACUCAUGUGAUUUAAUUUGUCAACCAGAACUUUGCAGUCAGAAAGUAUCAAUAUGGAUGUCCAAUUUUCCUUCGAUGCUUUGAGCAAAGCAGUUCUGAUAGCAUGAGCUUCCAAGGUUGCAGCCUCUCCUCUUAAUGAGGUUGGGAUUGACCAUGUAGAGAUUAGACUGCCCUUAUUGUCUCUUAUUGUCUCAAAGUUUUUAAACUAUACAUUUUAAAAUAUCCAAAAAUUUAUAUUUUUUAAAAAUUUUUUCUACAACUUCUACAGUAAACUGCAGUAAAAUUUUAAGCAAACACCCAAAAAAUUCACUUGCCAAAUGAGGCCCAUGUUAUUUGUAGUUCCCAAGCUAACACAGAACCCAUUCAUCCAGUAACCCCCUUCAUCUCUAAUUAGUCCUCCUGUUCCAGCUUGUCCUAAACCGUUGCUUGAUGCUACAUCCACAUUUAGUUUCACCCAUCCAAUUUGGGGCUUACUGCAAUUGAUAAACUUCAACUCCUUCUGUAAUGCUCUAUGAUACUUGGUGAGAGAUUCCUCACUGAAUUCGACUUGGGCUAUCACUGUUUGAGCAUUGAUUUUAUCUUAGUUGUAGUAAUAUAGGUUCCCAGCAUACCAGGCAAAAUAAAAAAAAAUUCUUGAAUCAAACACCUACCAAUCUGCAUCUUCUAUCGCUACAAUGUCAUGUUGUUUUAAGUUCCAGUCAAGCCAUUCUUCCAAAUUUGGGUUCCUAAAUUUCCCCCAUCUACUUGGUAGAUUAGUUUCUUCUAUAUUGUUGAUAUCCAGUCAUAGCCUAGCAAUUCAUAUUUAUAAUUAUUGAAUUAAAUUUGACCAGCUUUUUUUUUUUUUAAUAAAACAUCAUCAUAACAUUAAAUCUAUACUAAUGGCAAUAAUUAUACCAAUCAUACAUAGAUACAAACAGAUCUGAAAAACAAAUACUUGAUAUUACAAAUCUAGAAAAUCAAUAGAAUAUUACACUGUAAAACUCCAAAAAUAUCAAAAGAUAAAACCCUUAUUGCCCCAAUAUCAUCUAUGCAUGCUUCCAACUGUGUUGCUUCUUUUCUCCCAGACCUACUAAUGAGCUGAUUUAAAUUCAGAUGUUAAAGUGAGAUCUAAUGAGGUAGAUCUAAAAGAUUUUAGGUCCGACAACCAAAUAGGAGAAAACUUAGAUAUAAUACAACAAAUAGAAAAAACUACAAAAGCUAUCAUUAGAAAUCUCUAGGAGAGGAGAAAACAUCACGAAAAAUCCCUAAGAGAGAAUAAACUCUCACUAGGAAACUCCAUGAGAGGAGAAUAACAUCUUUUGCUACUAGAAUAGCUUUACCCUCAAUUUGAUGAGUACAAGAGUUUCAGAUACUAUCCUCAUCCACCAAGCUUCACAAACAAACUGAAAAAUAGUAGAACACAAAUGCGUCCAUAAAAUGGUGAAUUGCUUUUAAAUUUCGACAUUGCAAGACAAGGUACAUGAAUGCCUAGGAUGAAAUAUGCAAAAAGAUUCUUGAAGACCACGGGCUACGAGUCUUGAUUAGGUACUUCUCUGCUGUAAAAUUUUCCCACUACUCUGGAGUCCAGAAUUUCAAUGGCUUUCUCAGACUUUAUGUUCUUAGGUGUCUUGUACUGGUUUAAAGAAGUUCCUCGAGAAACAUAAAAGUCCAUGAGCACGUUGAAUGUUCCUUGUUUCACAACUCUAAUUUCCAAAGGACCGAUGGUACUGAUGCUCUGAUUCCUCAGCAUCUUAUAUUCCAGGUCCAGAGAUUGUUCCACUAAACUACAGCAUUUUUCCAUUUUAACCUGAUCAAGUUCAGGUAUAUCAUCGUUUGAUCUGAGUUGAAGCUCCCAAAAGAGUACAUAGUGACCAGGAAUAGAGGAUGUAUCAGCAUAGCUACUGUAAUCCAAAAGAAAGAACCCAAGUGGUUCAAGGAUAUGCAUUGCAAUUGUAACUGCAUUCUGGAGGUCUUGUUCAGUUGUUUUAUCUGUGUCAAUGCUCAAAACCACAUUUCUCCUUUGUACAAAUUUGAAUUGGGGAGUGAUAUUGUGAAAACCUGUCACCAGGAGAAUAUCCCCCAUUCUGUACCUGUAUAAACCUGAAAGUACACGCUUCUAUCAAUAUUCUAGAUAUCAGAGCGAUUGAGCUUCUAAACUCCCUAAUCAUCAUUGUUUAUGUUUAUCAGGAUAAUAGAUGCACGAAAAACCAGAAUGCAGUACCUAUAUCUGACAAAUUUGAACAUCAAAACAACUCUUGCACAUUACAUAUUGUUAAGCAGAAACAAAUGGAGCUACUUCCAUUUUAGAACAUGAUACAUAGAUUCAGAUGGAAAUCAGAAGACACCUUCUGGUAAUAAGAUGCAAACAGUUCAAGAGGCAAUUUUGUGUCUGCAGAGUACUUCAUGGGACAGACUAACAGAAUUAUAGUUCACGUCUACAGUAUACCAUAUGCAAUUAGGUCAAUCAAAAGUAUAGAGAUCUUUUUUCAGGUCAAAAGUAUAUAGAUCUUACCUGUACAGGUCGUGACAAGAAGUUCGUAAUGUUGGCCAAUCUUAACAUUAGCAAGAUCCACAAUGUGAUCUUUCAAGUGAGCAUCCUUGCUAUUGGUGCAGUUUGGAUCUUGAUGAUUACCAAUUGGUAUGAACUCAUAGUAAGCCAUGUUUGGUAUAAAAGUAUAUGAGACAUCAUAAGGAUUGCAUAAUGGUUUAAAAUUUAUCCCAAAACAUGCCUCUGAAGAAACAUAGGCUGGCGAAACUACAGGUAACCUUCCUGUAUAGAAUUCAAGCGCGGGAAUGUACUGUGCCAUGGACCCAGUAAUUAUGGCCUGGACAUACUUGGUCCUUGGCCAGAUCUUCUUAAUUAUUCCUUCCCAAGAUUUUUCUUGGCAUACAAGAUCAAUUGAAUCAGCCAAAUCUGGCAUUUGUUUGCUCAAAAUCAAGGAGACAGUCCUUUUGCAUUUAGGGUCAGUGAUCCAAUCACUCAUUUGUCCAGUUCUUAUGUUGGAAGACAUUUCUUGCCAAUGUUCCUCAAAAAAUUUGAUUAUCCUUUGCAAACCCGAGGCGAAAAUUGUACCAAUGCUUACUAUCGCAUCUCGCUGCACAAGGCCACAAAGUAAUUGACUAUACAAGCUCUGAUUGGUAUCUUCACACAAUAUAACCUCAGGAUAUCUGUCUUUUCUGUUCUUUAUCUCGCUUGCUGUAGCUGUUCUUAAAACUAAGCCACCAGGAGUGUGGAUAUCCGGGUUGAUAAGGUCAAAGAUCAGCGCUUUCCCAUCGUUUAAGCCGUGGAGGUACCUUAGUUCAAAGCUAUACAUUUAGCACCUUUUAUUUGACUCUCAUAAUUCUGCAGAUGAAAUAACAACUGUAAAUUCAUUGCAUUAGUGAAUUUACCUAUUCUGAACAGUAGCAAGGAGACAAAAGAAGAAGGCCCUGCGCUCUCCCUCUUCAGCAGUUUUUGGAAUCCACUUGUGCUUCCCACCUGAAGUGCCCGAGCUGCCAACGAAGUUGAUGUUUUCAGUUAAGAAAAACAAGAAAUUCAUGAAAACGAAUAGAAAUAACUCGCUCUUCAACACUAUUGACUUUACUCUCACUCCAUUUAGGAAUUUCCUUUAAUCUAUUUACAAUAAAUCAAAGAAACUGAUUUACCUGAUCAGUAGCUCAGUAAUGGAUUCAUUAGUUAAAAUCCGAGAUGGCUCUCCAUCCAGUGCAAUUCGAUCAAUGUAAAUCUUGAUAUCUUCAUAAUCUACCACAGGAACUUUAUUCUUGAAUAGUCCCUUAUCAGAGUGACCAUUAAGAAAACUUUUCAAGUAAUCGGUGCUUGCAUUUUUAGUUAAAAUCUCCUCCAGGACCUGUUCUUGUAUAUGACCAGCAUUGCUGGUUAUAUCCUCCAAAAUCCUCGAACCAGCUUCAGUAUCUCUUGGAUCAAAGGUUGGCAGCAUUCUAGUAAAGAAAAGAAAUGCAGAAUCUCAGUUUGGGGAUGGGAAAUAUACAGGGAAAUUAAUUAAUGAAUAAGCACGCUCAACUACAUUGUCUUGAGAAAAAGAUUUACGCCAUGGUUAAGCCGUUUUAAACCCAUUGGCCAGGUGAUCCGUCCUAUCAUCCUCAUUCCCGUCUCCUAGAUGCCUAGUUAGUUUGCUGUAUGUUACCAUUGUAAAUUUGUAAUGGUGUAAACAUAAAAACUCAUUGAGUUGCUUGGUCUCCUUAUGCUAUGUUCAUCACUUGCACAAUCCAAAAUUGCCAAAUGAUCGAGCUCUUAUGGAUCUAUAUCCAUGCUUGAGUUCAGUCAAAAUCGAACUCAAAUCGAGUUCGAGUAAUUUGAGUUGCUAUACGAAUUGAGUAGGUUCUCCAUGUAAUAUUCCUUAUUUAGCUUACAGAGUUUUUAUGUAUAUUUUGUCGAGCAAGCUCAAUCUUGAGCUUCAGCUCGUCCUCAUAAUUUUCUUGAGUCAAACUCAAGCAUGAACACAUGAUAUUCAUCGAACUUGAGCUCGGACUCAACCACAAAUUAAUUUUCUUUGAUCUUGAGUUCUAGUACCUCAAUAUUUGGGCUUGAUUUGGCUAAAACACCCCUAGAGAGGUGAUCCAAAAUUUAAAUGAAUGGCACGUUUCUAGUCAUAAAAGGAAGCUUAUUCGUAUGCAUCUUCCGAAAUGCGGCAAAAAUAUACUAGAUACCAGUUGUACUCUGCAAUAUAAUUAAUAGGAUAAAUUAUACUUUACCCCUUGUGGUUUACUGCUUUUCCACAUAACUCUCCCAUAGUUUACAAAGCUGUGUAUAAAUAUUUAUGGUUUGAACUAAAGUUUCAAAGUGACAAAAAUGGUACUUUGCAAAGGAACCAACUAAUUGGGCUGAAAAAUGAACUAACAUACUCGAUACUCGAAUCGAGUUCACUUGGUAAGAGCUCGUUCGAUCGUGGUUAACCAACUAGUCAAGCCAAAUUUGAACAAUGUUUUAUGUUUGAUAACAUUCAAACUUGAUAAAAAGUUCGUUCAAACUCAGUUCAGCAAAUAAACAAGCCAACCUUGAACAAAAUUUCAAACUUAUUAAAAUAAUCAAACAAAGUUGAACAUUAGGGUGUUCGACUUGAUUACAUUUGUUUACAACCCUACUAACUAAAAUGACGAGAUUACCCUCAUUUAGAAACUAAAAUAACUAAAAUGGCCAAAAUAUGUAAACGUAGUGUGCAUGACAUUUUAGUCCCUUAUGGUUUAGUGUUUUUUCACAUAACUCUCUUUUGUUUUCAAAAUUUAUACAUAACACCCAUCUGGUUAACAAGUAGUUUUCAUAUUAACAUGGGGGUAUUUUUUAUUUUCUAGUAGAUUCUGUUACUAAAUGUAAAUUUGGUUAUUUUGACAUUUUAGUCCAAACUAUGAUGCAGUUAUGUCCGCCGUCCGAUUUUUGAAAUGAUAAGAGGUUUAUAUGGAAAAGCGCUAAACUACUGAAGGUUAAAGUGUAAUUUAGCAUAAUUAAUACAAAAGUGUUGAUUUUCGGGGUUUUCUAGUAAACAGAGUUUGUCAGAUAAAAAGGUGGGUAGUGUUUUGUUUACCAAUUUACAGAGCUUCGUCUUUCAACCAAAGGCAACUAAAAUCACCAAAUGCAAAGCAACUUGACUAAAAGAACUACAUAUUAAGACAGGAUUAACAACUUGACCGUAUGAAUCUCGUUGACUUUCGACCUACAAAUGCAAGCAUUCGAAAAAAAAAUGUAAAUAUAUGGCCAAGUAAGCAUACAGCAUAGGAAAAAGGAAAAACAUAUGAAUCACAUCAGAAACAACAAGAGGAAAUUAAUCAAGGAAGCCAAUAUACCUCACUUAAAAGGAACAUGAUUGCAUAUAAUCCUACGGCGCAAAUAUACCUCACCUGGAAAAAUCUUGAUAGCACUAUGAUUCCAGCGCAAAAAUCUUGCAGAAAAUGAAGCCUUUGGGACCUAAUUUUUGUCGACUGCUAUUCAGUGAUGCAGGGACCAGGGAGCAGUGAAGCUGCCAAGGUUGACCAAUUGCCAGUGAUACAGGAAGUUGUUUCCGUCGGUCCUUAUUCAUCAAAAGUUGACCGGAAAUUGUAUAUACGUACAGGGAGAGUUGCAGUUUUACUGUUUUAGUCCCCAAUGUUUGGCCCAUGUAUCAAAUUAGUCUUCAAUGUUUCGAUUAAAACAAAUCUCGUCCCAAAGUUUGUGAUUUUAGACAGAUUUCUGACAACUAGCGAAAAAAGACCAAUGACAAAUGGUCAACAUCAAAUUGCUGCUAGUCAACAAUUUUUGCUUAGCACUUCUAGUCCUCAAUGUUUUGAUUUUGAAUUAUUAUCUUCUCUUAAAUUUUAAACAGUGAUAUUAAGGAUUUAGUAUUAAAUCAGAUGUAAAUUAAAUGGGUCAUAGGAAUUAUAAUUAAAUUUUUUUUUCUUUUUUAUUAUUAUUUUAUUUAGUCAUCCCAAUAGUAUCCCAUUUGUUUCUUUUCUUUUGCAUAGUUAGUCUAAAAUUUGUUAAAAUAUAUCUGUCUUAUUGUUUCUCACUAUUAAUAAUUAAUUGAUUAUGAGUUUUAUUAUUUUUAUUUUUAGUGAUAAAAACUUAAUUAAGUUUCCCUUUGAAUAUAUACUUUCUAUAAGUAAUUAAUAUUUUUUACAUUUUAAUAGGUUAACAAUUGAGUUUGAAAUGAAAUUGGUAUUUUAUACACAUCAUGUGGACCAUUAAAUGAUUAUUAAGUUACAUAGCGUGAAACCCACAAUUUUAUUACCUUAUUAUUUUAUUUUAUUUUAUUUUCUCAACUAAUUAAAGAGAUAAAGUUACUAAGUGAAAAGGGGAAAAUAAAAUAAAAUAACUGUAGGACGGGAUAAGGGAUUCUAAUAUAAGUAGUGCUAGGUUUGGGAUUUUAUUAAAACCCUAGACAGAAAAAUAACCUCAACCUUACCUUUCUUUCAUCUGCCUCCCUAAAGUAAGAGCCGUGGGAGAGGAGAGAAGUAGAAACAGGCAACACCGUAAAUCGAUUCGACGACUAGGCACCUAAACCUGUAAGUCUUGAGUUCACGCAAGAAAACCUCUCUUUUAAAUUUUAGUAGUUGUAUUAAUUGUUUUAGUAAUUUUAUGGACAUGUAUUGUUGCUAUAUAAGUGCAGAUAUGUAUGUUUUGAUAAAAUUCGUAUCUGGGUUAAUAAAAUAGGGGGGUUAAUUUUAAUCCUGAGAUUAUAGGGUGAUUGAAUCUGUUUAAAAAAUAAAAAAAAAAGGGAAAAGAAGAGCAGCGGCAGCAGUUUUGGACACACAAAAAGGGAAGAGUGGGGGGCCGCUAUCUCUGGCGGCAGAGAAAGAAUUUGCAAAGGUUGGCCAAAAAGCCGAAGCAAAAAAAAAAAAAUUUUGAAGUGGCGACCAAGCUGGCGACCAUGGUCAGGCAACUGGUUGGUCUUUUGGCCAACCAUGGGUUUAACCCGAGGAUGGAGAAAAUUUGACAAAUUAUACAGGGACCAAAAUAUAAUAUAAAAUGUAGUAAGUAUCUAAUAAAUAAAUUUUAAAACUAUAAAUUAUAGUUUAUCGUGGGUGUUAAAAAUUCAGGACCCAAUUUAAAAUAAUUGUUAGAAUUGAAAGGUUAGUCAUGUAAAAUUGUACUCAGUUAAUUACGUAUAAGAUACUUAAAUGCAAAUCUAAAAACAUUGUAAUUUAGCCGUAUGAAGCCAAAUUAGACAAGGUAAGAUAAGUUCUAAAUUGUUAAAUGAAAUGUUAAAAUAAUAAUGAUAAUAAUAAUGCUAAUAAUAUAGCACUAAUGAUAAUAAUCAUAGCGGUAAAUAAUAAUGUUGAUGAUAACACUAAUAAUAAUGAUAAUAAUAAUAAGGAAUAAUUAUAAAUUAUAAAUUGAUAUAGUAAGACGGUAGUCAGAACAAUAAGCAUGCUUAUGAAUAAUUAUUCUCUUUUAAAUUAGGAAACCUUACUAAAAGGAGAGCCGUUUCGAUUAAGAAACUUUCUAAAAAUAGAAACUUUUCAAAUUAGGAAACUUUCCAAAAAUAGAAAUCAUCAAUUUAAGGAAGAGGCUAUUAGGGUUCAUAUAAUGGGUUAGACACGAAUCCUCGACUUACUCAGAGUUUUAUAUAUUUAUGCAUCUAUAGGAAGUAACAACUAAUUAGGAAACUCAUGCAUUUGAUAGGUACGGUACAAGGACCUAAGGUAGUUCCACUCGAGCAGCUAAACAAAGGUUGGUGGUAUUUACCCUUAUGAGAUUUCAAAUGUGCAAAUGAAAUUCUUGUUUUCAAUCCUAUUUGGUUGUGUUGAUUCCAAAUGUGUUCGAUUAAAUGCUUUUCUCAUAUAUUUAUGAAAGUUAUAUUCUACUAUACAAAAAUGGACCAUGUGACUUAUUUGAAAUGUUUUGAUAUGUUCUUAUAUACAAAAUGAGUUGAAUCCUUUAUGAAAGCAAAGAUUUAUAUAUAAGACAUAUGAAAUGAAUUUUGACAAGUAAACCUCAAAGCAGUCAUGGAAUAUACGGUAGGGGCUAUAGUGCUAUCUAAUCGCCAUGGUAGCCUGGUAUAGAGUCCGGCCGAUUGACAAGGUCAUGGUAGCCUGGUAAAAAGUCCAGCCGAUUGGCAGGGUCAUGGUAGUCUGGUAUAAAAUCCGGCCGAUUGACCCAUGAAUGAAAUGAGAUCAAUCGAUAGUCGUGGAAUCUAUUGGUCGCCCACCUAGAAGGGGUUUAAUCUCUAGGUUGAGUAUUCAGUAGCCAGUCAUUACAUGUACUUGUUAUGAGCUAAUAUGGAAAGAUUUAUGAGUUAAUAUGAAAUGAUUUACAAGUUGAUAUGGAACGAUUUAUGAACUGAUCUGAGAUGAGACUCAUGAACUGAUAUGAAUUGAUUUGUGACUUGACACGAAAUGAUUUAUGACAUUACGGUUUCUCAUGUUUAAUUAUCAAUAAGAUGCUUUUAAAUUGCUUGUCAUUCUUUACUACUGAUGAUUUUAUAAACAACGGCGCCGCCUCCCUAAUUUUGGAAGUGAACAAGGUGCAAUGAUUCGAUUAUGUCUAUAUAUGUAUCUAUAAAAUCAAGAGUGCAUGGUCCAACAGAGGGGUAGAUAUUACCUACUGAGCGAUGUGUCGCUCAACCCACUUCUUACCAUUUUUGCAGGUUCUGAGGAGUAUGAAUUGGUUUAUAUAGAAGACCCUGAGGAUGACUUUUAUUAGCUUUGAAUGAAUAGAAGUUGGCAGGCUAGCUACUUGUAGUUGUUAGUCUUAUUUACUUUUGUUUCCGCUGUUUCAAUCAGAAAAUAAAUGUACGAACGUCUUGAAUAUUCAUAGACUUUCUUUUAUAUGUAAUUCGUACCGCACUUUAUUUAGUACUGUUAAAGUUAAUCUAGUUAAUGUAGUCUUGUAUUUUUGAGUGGGACUUGGGAGUACGGCGGAUGUCAUGUGACGGGUACGUGCGGGCUCGGGGCAUGAUAUUUUUAGUGGCAUCAGAGCCUAGGUUAUAUGGUCCGAAAGUAUGUGAAAUGGUUUUUGAGGCAUUAGGGGUUUUGAGAAUUGAAAUGAGAUCAAAAGAAAAAGAGGAUUAAAGGAAAUAAGAGAUUCAUCUGAUUUUUAAUGUUAUCAAAGUUAAGGUUAUGCGAUCUAGAUGUAUGUUGAAUGAUAUUUGUAAUAUUAGUGAUUUGAGGAAAUGGGAAUGACGUUGGAUAGAAGAUUGUGAAAUAAGAGAUUUUCAUAAUGUUUAGUGAUAAUAGAGCCUGAGGUACGAUUUACUUUUUAGAGGAAGUAUACCCUAGGAAAUGAACAAUUGUGACUAAAUAAAUAAGCUUGAAAUUUUGCAUGUGUGAAUAGUUGAAAUGGUACGAUUGGUGUUUAUGAUGUCCUUUUAUUGGAUGUAAUUUUGGUAGUACAUUCUAAGUUUAAGAUGUCGGACGUGUAGGAAAUAUUAUGUGUAUUUGAAGUAUUGUCUAUUGGAAAUUGAAAGGAGAUGGAAAAAUAGAUCAAAAGAAAUAAGAGAUUGCUGUGACUUUUUAUUAGUAUCAAAGAUCAAGUUGUGAUAGUUGGAAGUAGGUGUAAAGAUACUAAAGAUAUUUGUGAUUUUGAGAAUUGGAAUGAAAUGGAUAAGGGAUUAAAAGAAAAUAAGUGACUCCAUAACAUUUAAUGGUAUUAGAAUUUUAGGUUACGAAUUUAUUGGAAUGAUCUCAGGUAUUAAGAUGUUGAUUACUUUCGGUAAGUAAGUGGUGACUAUAUGCAUAUGUUCAGUUGAAAAGGUAAUCAAGCCUACCUGCCAGAUAUGAUUGACACUUACAAAAAAAAAAAUAAUAAAAUGGUAUUUAGGGUGUUCGUUUUGUAAGUUUUGAUCUCUAUAGUACAUUUCAAGUUUAUCAUUUAGGAUGUCAGAUUCAUGGAUAAUCUUAUGUCUAGUUGAAGUCUAGCAUAGAAAAAACUGAAAAAAUGGAGGAAAUUAGAAUGCACAACGAAAGUAUGAAUGAUCAACAAUAUGAUGUCAUCGAACGCAUGCAAUACAUGUUGGAUCUUGGAAUUUUGCUGACUUAUUUUGAGGAUUACGAUAAUUAGAUCUAAUGCUCAAGAUAUUUAUUACACUAGCUGAUAUGAUUAGUUCGGGUAUUAUUACAUCAUGAUCAAGCAAUACAUAUUUUGUACAUUUCUUACAAUAUAUAAUUUUACAUACUUUUUCCCUAAAAAUGAAUAAACGGAGAAACUAAAAUUUUAUUUGCACAAAUAGUUUUUAAUCAAAUUUUUUUAUAAAUAUGUACCUUUACCUUACAGUUGCUUGGUAAAUAUAGUUUUUAAAUAUAUAUGCAUAUAUCUAUAUAUAAAAAAGAAUAGAAUAAAUACAUUAAAUAAUUAUAUCCUAUAAUCCUGUGCAAUUUUUUUUUAUACUUAUCCAAUCUCAAAAAGAGCUUUAGAUAAAAGUAUUUUACAAAAAUUUUUUUUUCCUUUCUUAUUGUAUAGAAAAAUCUAACAAUAAUUCUUGAUAAAUUUUCUUUGUACUCUAAAUUCUAAUGCUGUAAAAAGUAUAGUUAGUUGACUUAUGUAUUUCAAAACACUUCCAGUUUCUAAACCUGUAUGAGUUCGAAAUUCUACAUAUAGAUAAAUAUUUUACCAAAGUUAUGAUAAAGUUAUUAUAUUUCAAUAUGAGGAUUUGGUGAUAAUUUUUGUAUAAAAUUUUCUAUAUUUUUGUAUGAUCAAGAAGUUUGUGAAAUGAUUUUUGAGGUAUUAAUGUUUUCGGAAAUUGAAUUGAGCUAGAAAAAAAAUAAUAACCAAAGAAAAUAAGAUUCCCUUGGCAUUUAAUGGUAUAAUAACUCAGGUUAUAGGAUCUGGAAAUAUGAGUGAUGCUAUUUGAGGUAUUAUUGACCUUUUUGAAAUUUAAAAUAAGAUAGAUAUGAGAUUUAAGGGAAAUAAGGGAUUUCCAUUACCAAUUACAAACACAGUGGGCAUGAAUCCAUAUAUCGAGAUAAGGAUUACUUUUGCAAUAGGGGAUAAGUAAGUGGUGAUAAAAUGUGUGACAAGAGAAGAAAUGGUAUUCUUAUUGUCUAUGGCAUCCUUUCUAUAGAGCAUUAUAAGCCGAUAUUUAGAAUGCUAGAUUUGUGAGAGAUGUUAUGUUCAUCUGAGUUAUAUAAAUAUGAAGACGGGAGAUAUUGAGAAAUAUAAGAGUGCGCAGCAGAAACUUGAUAGAAUUAAUUAAGAAAAUUCAAUUUAGAUAUUGUAGAUAUAAUUCCCAAAAUGUAUUGCAAGAACAUUGGAAAAUUUGUUAACUUAUCUUGAUGUUUAUGUCUUUAGGUUUCGAGAACAAAACCUUUAAAAGAGGGAGAGAAUGUGGUAUCUAGUCUAAAAGUGAAUUGUGAAAGUAGUAUCGAAUUAGGACCCUAAAUUCACGUCUAGAAUUUGGUCGACCUACCAAGAGAUAAUAGGGAUUGAUACUUAAGAUUAAAUACCGACUUCUACCCCCAAAUGAAUGGAUCGUCAAAAAGGAUUGUAUAGACAUUGGAGGACAUGCUGAGAGCUUGUGUUCUAGACUUCUCGGAUAGUUGGAAUAGGUUGGUGAAAUUAAUGGAGUUUUUGUAUAAUAAUAACUAUCAUAGCGGGAUAGAUAUGACACUAUUUGAAGUGCUGUAUGGGCGAAAGUGUAGAUAUCUCUUAUAUUGGGAUGAAGUAUGUGAGAAGCUGAUCACUGGUCCCGAUUUGGUGGAAAGAAUUUUGGAGAAAAUUAAGAUUAUUCGGGGAAGAUUAAAGGUAGCUCAGAACUGAAACAAGAGUUGGAUGGACUUAAAAAGGAGACUUUUAGAGUUUCAACCGGGAGAAAAGGGUAUAUUUGAAAGUAUCCCCUACCAAGGGAGUGAUGAGAAUUGGAAGAAGUGACAAGUAAAAUCUGAGGUAUGUAGGGCCUUACGAAAUACUAGAUAGAGUUAGAUCUCUAGCGUAUCGAUUGGCUCUCCCGCCGGCUUUGGCAAGGAUACAUAAUAUUUUUCAUGUUUUCCAACUGAGAAAGUGUGUACCUGAUUCAAGCCAUAUUUUAGAGGAUCAACCCAUCGAGGUAAGGGAGAACUUGUCAGCGGAGGAAGUUCCCUUGAGAAUCGUGGAUCGAAAGGAUCAAAUUCUAAGGAGAAGAACCAUACCUUACGUGAAGGUGCAAUGGACGAACCAUACACCGCGAAAGGCAACGUGAGAGUUAGAAAAAGACAUGCGGUAUAGAUAUCCCUAUCUUUUUUAUCAAGAUACAUAAGUUUCGAGGACGAAACUUUUUGUAAGGGGGGUAGAAUGUGAAACCCACAAUUUUUGGCAUCUGUUUUUAUUAUUUAUUUUCCCAAUUAAUUAAAAAGGAUAAAAUUACUAGGAAAGAUAACAUAAAAUAAAAUAAAAUAACUAUAGGAUGGGAUAAGGGUUUCUAAUAAACUAAAACUCUUAUCCAAACCACAUACUAGUGGGUAGUGCUAGGUUUAGGAUUUUAUUGAAACCCUAGCAAGAAAAAUAACACCCUCCUUGUCUUUCUUUCGCCUACCUCCCUAGAGCAAGAGCCGUCAGAGAAUAGAGAAGGAGAAGCAAGCGACACUGUCAACCGAUCAGACGACUAGGCACCUAAACCUGUAAGUCCCGAAGUCACGCAAAAAUUCUCUUUUUAAGUUUUAGUAGUUGAAUUAAUUGUCCUAGGAAUCUUACGAAUAUGGAUUGUUACUGUAUAUAUGUAGAUAUAUAUUUUUUAGGAAGAUUCAUAUGUGGAUCUGUAGGAAUGGAGUGUUAGAUUUGAAUCUGUGAGUAAAUAGGUUGCCCAAAUCUGGUGGAGGAAAAAACAAAAACAAAAAAAAGGGGAAAAGAAGAGCAGCGGCUGUUGCCGCUGCUCUGUUUUGGACACACAAAAAGGGAAGAGUGGGGGGGCCGCCAUCUCUGGCAGCAAAGAAAGAAUUUGCAAAGGUUGGCCGAGACCAAAGCAAAAAAAAAAAAAAAAAAUUGAAGAGGAUGUCGCCAGCACUUGCUGGCGACAAUGAAUAAAAGCGAUGGUUGGCCUUUUGGCCAACCAAUGGAAGCAAAGGGUCGCCAGCAAGUCUGGCGACCAUGGUCGGGCAACUGGUUGGCCUUUUGGCCAACUAUGGGUUUAACACGAGGACGGAGAAAAUUUGGCAAAUUAUACAGGGACCAAAAUAUAAUAUAAAAUGUAGUAAGUAUCUAAUAAAUAAAUUUUAAAACUAUAAAUUAUAGUUUAUCGUGGGUAUUAAAAAUUCAGGACCCAAUUUAAAAUAUGUGAGAACCCGUAAAACCCUAAUUAUUUUCCUAGGGUUUAUUACCCCUUAAUUGCAUAAUUUUUGCAUUUUCUGGUUUAGAAAUAUUUUUCUGGUAGAUUUUAUGAGCAAUUAUAGUUUUAAGAUGAUUUUUCUAGCAUUGUGAAAUUUUAGAAAAUUAAGAAUAUAUAAUGGACGUGGGACCCACUAGUGCGAAAAGUUCGGAAAAAUUCGGCCAAUUAGGUUAAAUUCCGGAUACUGUGUAAAAUUUAUCGGGUGUUAAGAGAUAAGUAGAGUGUGUGAAAUGAUUGAUGUGAGAGAGAAAAGAAAUGAUAGGAUUGCAUUAAUUGAGGUGCCAAGUGUCAUUGUUUCAUUGGGUUUGACUUAAGACUUACUAUUCAUGUUUUUGACUUUUGACCCAUUAGUUAAAUAUCUCAAAAAAAAAAAAUUGACUAAAACUCACCAUUUUUCACUCCUUGUUGGCCGACUCUUGAGAGGUCAAGAAGGAAGAAGAUUGCUCAAAAUUUCAAGCUCCCAACUAGCUCAAUCUUCCAAACCACUUGCAUAAAUUAGUUUUUACUCCAUAAACUUCUUCCAUUAGGUGCUAGUGGUGAGUUUGGUGAAGUUUGUUUGAAGGUUUAAGGUGUCCAAUAUCCUCCUCUCUCUUGUUUCUUGGUAAGUGAAGCUUGAACACCCUACUACAUCUAAUGAUGCUUAUGUUUGGCUUAGAAGUGGCUAAAGUGAUGAAUUAUAUGAGUUAUUUCUUGGUUUGGCUUGAUUUGGUGAAGUUUUUAAUUUUAUGAUGAAUUUUCUGGUUUAAUGUGAAAUGGAUGUUGUAGCCAUCUUUGAUGAUUGGCAAUGGACUAUAAUGACUCUUGUAGGUGUGAAUUGUUGCUAAAUGCAACCAAUUUUGGAUUUGGUGUGAAAAUUGAAAAGUUAGGGUUCAUAAACCCCUAAUUCUGUCCGGUUUUGGAUCAUAGGGUUAGAGGCCGAAUUUGACUUUGCUCAAAACAUGAAAGUUGUAGGUAUUGAUGUGUUUGAGGUGCCUGUAAAAUUUCAGGUCAUUUGGAUUAAUGUAGAAUGAGAUAUGACGGAAUUACUGUAGCUGUUCUGCUUUGGACAGAAUGCGAAAACUGCGAUAGUAAUUGGCCAUUUUGACUGGAAUUGGUUUGGAUUUUGGAGUUGGUGUCUUCUGGUGAAAUGUAGCUGAAUGUCUUAGCUAACAUAUGCCUUUGGAAUUUCGGUAUUUGGACUUGUAUGGACUGAGAAAUACCGAUUACAGUUUUCUGCGUUUUGCAAACCUGUUUUGGUAAUUCUGGUUUAGUAUUUGGCAUUUUUGACCUAGUUAAGCUAGGAACUGGAUUGAGUGACCUUCUAUAUUGUUGUAGCCCUGUUUCAUAGCUUCGAAACGGUGGGUCUUACACCCCCAUCCGAUAAUCGUAGUGAAAUUGACGCCAUUACCGCAAAGUAAGGACAAAACAGUUUUAUUUUCAGGGCCAAGGCUAAAGCCAUUGUUUGAAUUUCUGGUUUGCUAUAAUGCUUGUAUAUGCUUAUGAAACCCUAUUGGGGUUGUGAUUGGCGUUGCUUUAUGACUCGUUAUUGAGUCUCAUUGUACUUGCUUAUGUGUUCUAGGGCGUGACGGUGGUUCACGACAUUCCCCUGACGGAAGUGCAUGACAUAGCACUUAAUUGCUUAGUGAGUAUACUACUCACUUACUUGUUAUAAUGUGGCUUUGUUCCUUGUGUAUUUGAUGCCUUGAAGGCUUAAUUGGUUAUUGGAAGUGAUUGAGGUGAGGGUGUACUUGACCGCCCUCACCCCUUGUAAUUUCCUUCAUGGCUAUUUACUGUUUUACUGAAAUACUGCAAUUGUUAUAUGAGAUACUGAAUUCCAUGCAUGGAAACUGAUUUGGUGUCGUUUGGACGAGUAACCAACGGCUUUACUGUAUUACUGAGCUCAACCCCGUUUGGUAGUCAAUUGGAUCGAGCCGGCGAGGGCUUGGUCGUGAAAAUUGUCAUGCCACGGGGACUGUAUUGGGGAACCUUGUAGUAAUGAGACUCUUGGUUCCGGUAUACUCGAGUAUUACCAAAAACUACUGAAAUGGAGUGCGGGCCCGGUUGGGGUAUGUUGGGUGGAAGGAUUGGAAGUAAAGGGUGGUCUACGGUUUGGUACUUUUAACAUUGACGGAGAGUCAAUGAGGUUGGAUCAAGAUUGCAAGCGUGGAAAUGGGCUGUUGAGAGCCGACCGUAUCCUUUCACUGAUUUGCUUUAUUUCGGAAUUGCGUACUUGAAUUGAAUGGUUAUGCUUAUGUGAUCUUAGUUGCUAUUGUGGUAGUAACUCACUGAGCUUUAGCUCACUCCAUUCCAUUUGUUUUCCUUACAGGAAAUGAUCUCUUUUGGAAAAGAUUGUGUUAGAUGGUUGCCAAAAUGAGCUCUUGUAUAUGUAUCUUUUGAUUAGCUCAUUGAGUGAAACCCUAAUGUGUACUGGGUUCACUUUCUUUUGAAUCGGCAAACCGAAUGUGUAUAAUCGUGAUAAAUAGCUUUGGCAUGACUAUUUGAAUGUAAAUGUUGUAUUUCGAUGUAUAUAUAUGUUGGUUCGAGGUUUGGUUGGAUUUCGGACUGAUCCGCCUUUCAAACGGAAAAGAAAAAAAUUUGGCGGGAAUGAACAGGACCGAAUCCGGCCAGGAAUCCGGCCAGGAAUCCGGCCAGAAACUGGCCGGAUUGCCGGCCGGAUUGCAGGCCGUUUUGGAAAAAUUUUGGAUUGCUCUCUGGCCAGUAUCCGGCCAGGAAUCCGGCCGGAUUCUGACGUGGCCUGCACUAUUCAUCUUCGGCAAAAAUUUUCGUUUUUUUUUAUUUUGUGAUUUUGACUUGUUUGCGCGCAAUGGUAUGUUCCGGAACGUAAUAGAUCGACGUAAACUGAACCGUUAGUCCUGGCGAGAGCUGGGCAGGCAGUCCGCUAACCCCUUUGGUUCGCCUUAGGGGAAGGUGGGGCUGUUACAAGUGGUAUCAGAGCCACGUCGCGUGGUUUCUGCGCGGAGUGAGACUGGGCCAAGUGGUGUUGUGGUCUUAAUUUCAUGGAUAUGUCUAAGUGCUCGUUUGAGCGUAAGUUAUGAACCGGGCAUGUGAUAAGUGUACGAAUCGUUAUCAUGGGACUCGAGGAAGCUAGGUGUGUAUGUCGGGUAGGAAUAUUUAAUAAGGAUGGUUUACUCUUGGGACCGGCCGGCUCGAGAUGUGAAUUAUCUUAAACGGGAUUCUUGCGCCCGGAUACGAAAGAUAUGAAGGCCUAGGUUAGAAAGGAUUUGGUGAACUAGAAAGGUGAUUCUAUGGAACUUCGUGUGGUUUGUUUGGGUGUGGUUAAGCGUGAUCGACCUUGAUUAACAUAUAAAUAUUUGGACGAAACCCUAGAAGGGGAAAAGCUUUUCGUGAGUUCUUUUGCACUUGUGGCCUAGUUGUUCAAAGUACUUUUGAGGACCCUAUUGUUCCAUGCAAUGACUUCGUAUGUAAUUGACUGACUGUUCCGUAUGAUUGCUUAACCUGGUUAUGUGAUCUAUGUACGUGUUAUGUGUUUAAAUGCUCUUCGCAGUAAAUGUUUGAGUUGCUUAUUCUUGUUUCACUGUUCCUGUCUGGUGCUACGGAAGGAAGGGUUAGGUGCCCUUUAACAGUGUAUUUAUUUGAUGACCUAGAUUGACUUAGAUUGAUGGAAGGCACCCGAAGUGGUCGAGGCCGUGGACGCAGGGGUAGACAACCCACACCGAUUAGGGGUACGGGGGAAACCUCUACUGGGCCCAAUCCUGAACCACAAGCCGACCCCACUGUUCAAAUAGCUGCUGCUAUGCAGCAAAUGACAAACCUACUCGCACAAGUAGUGCAACAACAGGGCCAGAACCCAAACCCUAAUCCCGGAAACCCCGGUAAUCAUAUCGAGAGCGAAGAUAGAGAGCUAGAACGUUUUCAAAAGUUUUCUCCGCCAAAGUUCGUUGGGGGACCCGACCCUGAUGUUGCUGAGAAAUGGCUUGAGAAGAUGGUAGACAUUUUUGCAGCUCUACAUUACCCAGACGAACGGCAGGUCACUUUCGCCGUGUUUCAACUCGAGGGGGCUGCCCGUUCCUGGUGGAACGUAAUUAGACAGAAAUGGGAGCGGGAGCAGACGCCUAGGACUUGGGUGAACUUCAUCCGAGAAUUUAAUGCCAAGUUUUUUCCUCCCCUAGUCCAGGAGAGGAAGGAGGACGAGUUCAUUAGGCUUCGCCAAGGGGCUCAAACUGUGGCGGAAUAUGAGAGUCAAUUUACCCGCCUGUCCAAGUUUGCGCCUGAACUAAUCAUGACUGAGCAACGACGGGUUAGGCGCUUCAUUCAGGGUUUGAACGUUGAGAUCCAGAAAGAUCUCGCGGCGGCUCAAAUCACUACGUUUAGCGAGGCAAUGGAAAAAGCCCAACGAGUUGAAAGUGCACGAAUGCAGGUUCGAAACUUCCAGGCUAAGAAGCGUGGAUUUCCUGAAAGUAGUUCGGGGCAGGGGAAUGAAAGUACCCUUCCCAAGUUUGGACGAGGAACGGGAGGAGUAAGGAUGCCGGGAGUGUCACCGGAGAGGCCGUCAAGAGGAGGCUCGGCUUCUACAGCACGCGGACCCUGCGGGUAUUGCGGAAAAUUUAAUCACUCAGAGGAUAACUGCUGGAGGAAAGGAGGAAAAUGCUUGCUCUGUGGGAGUGCCGAACAUCAAAUUGCUAACUGUCCAGCUCGCCUGCGCGAGCGGCAAGGGACUCUGCCACCAACCACGACCCACCCUGACCGGUCGAAGGGGGACAAGGAUGAAUCAAAAGUGUCCUCUCGGGUGUACUCCUUAGAACAACAUCAAGGCUUUGACCCAUUAGAGGACGUGGAAGGUAAGAAUUUACUGAACCUGACCAGUGAAGGGGCACAGAUUUGUUAGCAAAGUAUAAAGCUCAAUUUAAUCCCGGAGUAGUCAAUGAUAAGGAAUUUCGAGGACGAAAUUCUUUUAAGGGGGAGAGAGUGUGAGAACCCGUAAAACCCUAAUUAUUUUCCUAGGGUUUAUUACCCCUUAAUUGCAUAAUUUUUGCAUUUUCUGACUUAGAAAUAUUUUUCUGGUAGAUUUUAUGAGCAAUUAUAGUUUUAAAAUGAUUUUUCUAGCAUUGUGAAAUUUUAGAAAAUUAAGAAUAUAUAAUGGACGUGGGACCCACUAGUGCGAAAAGUUCGGAAAAAUUCGGCCAAUUAGGUUAAAUUCCGGAUACUGUGUAAAAUUUAUCGGGUGUUAAGAGAUAAGUAGAGUGUGUGAAAUGAUUGAUGUGAGAGAGAAAAGAAAUGAUAGGAUUGCAUUAAUUGAGGUGCCAAGUGUCAUUGUUUCAUUGGGUUUGACUUAAGACUUACUAUUCAUGUUUUUGACUUUUGACCCAUUAGUUAAAUAUCUCAAAAAAAAAAAAUUGACUAAAACUCACCAUUUUUCACUCCUUGUUGGCCGACUCUUGAGAGCUCAAGAAGGAAGAAGAUUGCUCAAAAUUUCAAGCUCCCAACUAGCUCAAUCUUCCAAACCACUUGCAUAAAUUAGUUUUUACUCCAUAAACUUCUUCCAUUAGGUGCUAGUGGUGAGUUUGGUGAAGUUUGUUUGAAGGUUUAAGGUGUCCAAUAUCCUCCUCUCUCUUGUUUCUUGGUAAGUGAAGCUUGAACACCCUACUACAUCUAAUGAUGCUUAUGUUUGGCUUAGAAGUGGCUAAAGUGAUGAAUUAUAUGAGUUAUUUCUUGGUUUGGCUUGAUUUGGUGAAGUUUUUAAUUUUAUGAUGAAUUUUCUGGUUUAAUAUGAAAUGGAUGUUGUAGCCAUCUUUGAUGAUUGGCAAUGGACUAUAAUGACUCUUGUAGGUGUGAAUUGUUGCUAAAUGCAACCAAUUUUGGAUUUGGUGUGAAAAUUGAAAAGUUAGGGUUCAUAAACCCCUAAUUCUGUCCGGUUUUGGAUCAUAGGGUUAGAGGCCGAAUUUGACUUUGCUCAAAACAUGAAAGUUGUAGGUAUUGAUGUGUUUGAGGUGCUUGUAAAAUUUCAGGUCAUUUGGAUUAAUGUAGAAUGAGAUAUGACGGAAUUACUGUAGCUGUUCUGCUUUGGACAGAAUGCGAAAACUGCGAUAGUAAUUGGCCAUUUUGACUGGAAUUGGUUUGGAUUUUGGAGUUGGUGUCUUCUGGUGAAAUGUAGCUGAAUGUCUUAGCUAACAUAUGCCUUUGGAAUUUCGGCAUUUGGACUUGUAUGGACUGAGAUAUACCGAUUACAGUUUUCUGCAUUUUGCAAACAUGUUUUGGUAAUUCUGGUUUAGUAUUUGGCAUUUUUUGACCUAGUUAAGCUAGGAACUGGAUUGAGUGACCUUCUACAUUGUUGUAGCCCUGUUUCAUAGCUUCGAAACGGUGGGUCUUACACCCCCAUCCGAUAAUCGUAGUGAAAUUGACGCCAUUACCGCAAAAUAAGGACAAAACAGUUUUAUUUUCAGGGCCAAGGCUAAAGCCAUUGUUUGAAUUUCUGGUUUGCUAUAAUGCUUGUAUAUGCUUAUGAAACCCUAUUGGGGUUGUGAUUGGCAUUGCUUUAUGACUCGUUAUUGAGUCUCAUUGUACUUGCUUAUGUGUUCUAGGGCGUGACGGUGGUUCACGACAUUCCCCUGACGGAAAUGCAUGACAUAGCACUUAAUUGCUUAGUGAGUAUACUACUCACUUACUUGUUAUAAUGUGGCUUUGUUCCAUGUGUAUUUGAUGCCUUGAAGGCUUAAUUGGUUAUUGGAAGUGAUUGAGGUGAGGGUGUACUUGACCGCCCUCACCCCUUGUAAUUUCCUUCAUGGCUAUUUACUGUUUUACUGAAAUACUGCAAUUGUUAUAUGAGAUACUGAAUUCCAUGCAUGGAAACUGAUUUGGUGUCAUUUGGACGAGUAUCCAACGGCUUUACUGUAUUACUGAGCUCAACCCCGUUCGGUAGUCAAUUGGAUCGAGCCGGCGAGGGCUUGGUCGUGAAAAUUGUCAUGCCACGGGGACUGUACUGGGGAACCUUGUAGUAAUGAGACUCUUGGUUCCGGUAUACUCGAGUAUUACCAAAAACUACUGAAAUGGAGUGCGGGCCCGGUUGGGGUAUGUUGGGUGGAAGGAUUGGAAGUAAAGGGUGGUCUACGGUUUGGUACUUUUAACAUUGACGGAGAGUCAAUGAGGUUGGAUCAAGAUUGCAAGCGUGGAAAUGGGCUGUUGAGAGCCGACCGUAUCCUUUCACUGAUUUGCUUUAUUUCGGAAUUGCGUACUUGAAUUGAAUGGUUAUGCUUAUGUGAUCUUAGUUGCUAUUGUGGUAGUAACUCACUGAGCUUUAGCUCACUCCAUUCCAUUUGUUUUCCUUACAGGAAAUGAUCUCUUUUGGAAAAGAUUGUGUUAGAUGGUUGCCAAAAUGAGCUCUUGUAUAUGUAUCUUUUGAUUAGCUCAUUGAGUGAAACCCUAAUGUGUACUGGGUUCACUUUCUUUUGAAUCGGCAAACCGAAUGUGUAUAAUCGUGAUAAAUAGCUUUGGCAUGACUAUUUGAAUGUAAAUGUUGUAUUUCGAUGUAUAUAUAUGUUGGUUCGAGGUUUGGUUGGAUUUCGGACUGAUCCGCCUUUCAAACGGAAAAGAAAAAAAUUUGGCGGGAAUGAACAGGACCGAAUCCGGCCAGGAAUCCGGCCAGUUUACUGGCCGGAUUGCCGGCCGGAUUGCAGGCCGUUUUGGAAAAAUUUUGGAUUGCUCUCUGGCCAGUAUCCGGCCAGGAAUCCGGCCGGAUAUCCGGCCAGAUUCCGGCCGGAUUCUGACGUGGCCUGCACUAUUCAUCUUCGGCGAAAAUUUUCGUUUUUUUUUAUUUUGUGAUUUUGACUUGUUUGCGCGCAAUGGUAUGUUCCGGAACGUAAUAGAUCGACGUAAACUGAACCGUUAGUCCUGGCGAGAGUUGGGCAGGCAGUCCGCUAACCCCUUUGGUUCGCCUUAGGGGAAGGUGGGGCUAUUACAAAAUAAUUGUUAGAAAUGAAAGGUUAGUCAUGUAAAAUUGUACUCAGUUAAUUACGUAUAAGAUACUUAAAUGGAAAUCCAAAAACAUUGUAAUUUAACCGUAUGAAGCCAAAUUAGACAAGGUAAGAUAAGUUCUAAAUUGUUAAACGAAAUGUUAAAAUAAUAAUGAUAAUAAUAAUGCUAAUAAUAUAGCACUAAUGAUAAUAAUCAUAGCGGUAAAUAAUAAUGUUGAUGAUAACACUAAUAAUAAUAAGGAAUAAUUAUAAAUUAUAAAUUGAUGUAGUAAGACAGUAGUCAAGAUAAUAAGCAUGCUUAUGAGUAAUUUUUCUCUUUUAAAUUAGUAAACCUUACUAAAAGGAGAGCCGUUCCGAUUAAGAAACUUUCUAAAAAUAGAAACUUUUCAAAUUAGGAAACUUUCCAAAAAUAGAAAUCAUCAAUUUAAGGAAGAGGCUAUUAGGGUUCAUAUAAUGGGUUAGACACGAAUUCUCGAUUUACUCAGAGUUUGUAUAUUUAUGCAUCUGUAAGAAGUAACAACUAAUUAGGGAACUUAUGCAUUUGAUAGGUACGGUACAAGGACCUAAGAUAGUUCCACUAGAGCAGCUAAACAAAAGUAGGUGGUACUUACCCUUUUGAGAUUUCAAAUGUGCAAAUGAAAUUCUUGUUCUCAAUCUUAUUUAGUUGUGUUGACUCCAAAUGUGUUUGAUUAAAUGCUUUUCUCAGAUAUUUAUGAAAGCUAUAUUCUACCAUACAAAAAUGGACCAUGUGAUUUAUUUGAAAUGUUUUGAUAUGUUCUUAUAUACAAAAUGAGCUGAAUCCUUUAUGAAAGCAAAGAUUUAUGUAUAAGAUAUAUGAAAUGAAUUUUAACAAGUAAAGCUCAAAGCAGUCAUGGAAUAUACGGUAGGGGCUAUAGUCCUGUCUAAUCGCCAUGGUAGUUUGGUAUAAAGUUCGGCUGAUUGGCAAGGUCAUGGUAGCCUGGUAUAAAGUUCGGCCGAUUGACAAAGCCAUGGUAGUCUGGUAGAAAGUUCGGCCGAUUGGCAGGGUCAUGGCAACCUGGUAUAUAAUCCGGCCGAUUGACCCAUGAAUGAAAUGAGAUCAAUCGAUAGUCGCAAAAUCUAUUGGUCGCUCACCUAGAAGGGAUUUAAUCUCUAGAUUGAGUACUCAGUAGCCGGUCAUUGUACUUGUUAUGAGUUAAUAUGGAAAGAUUUAUGUGCUAAUAUGAAAUGGUUUACGAGCUGAUAUGGAACGAUUUAUGAACUGAUCUGAGAUGAGACUCAUGAACUGAUAUGAAUUGAUUUGUGACUUGAGACGAAAUGAUUUAUGACAUUACGGUUUCUCAUGUUUAAUUAUCAAUAAGAUGCUUUUAAAUUGUUUAUCAUUCUUUACUACUGAUGAUUUUAUAAACAACGGUGCCUCCCUGAUUUUGGAAGCGACUAAGGUGCAAUGAUUCGAUUAUAUCUAUAUAUGUAUCUAUAAAAUCAAGAGUGCAUGGUCCAACAGAGGGGUAGAUAUUACCUACUGAGCAAUGUGUCGCUCAACCCACUUCUUACCAUUUUUGCAGAUUCUGAGGAGUAUGAAUUAGUUUAUAUAGAAGACCCUGAGGAUGACUUUUAUUAGCUUUGGAUGAAUAGAAGUUGGCAGGCUAGCUACUUUUAGUUGUUAGUCUUAUUUACUUUUGUUUCCGCUGUUUCAAUCAGAGAAUAAAUGUACGAACGUCUUGAAUAUUCGUAGACUUUCUUUUAUAUGUAAUUCAUAUCGCACUUUAUUUAGUACUGUUAAAGUUAAACUAAUUAAUGUAGCCUUGUAUUCUUGAGUGGGACUUGGGAGUACGGCCGAUGUCAUGUGACGGGCGCGUGCGGGCUCGGGGCGUGACACAUAGAUAUUAAAAUAAAUCCUUUAAAUCUAUAGUAUUGGAACAUUGAAUUUUAAUUAAUGGGAAAGACAACAAGAAAUAAAAGAAAGUUUUAUAAAUAAUUCCUAUAAUCACUUCACAUUUAUACUUGUUUUCAUUUGUUUUUAUAAGUACAAUGACUAGCUACAAGAAUUUAAAAUCUACAUGCACAAGACAUGCAACAAUUUGUGUAGUAGUAAUUAUAAUAAACUUAAAUUAUAAAACCAGAAAUCUCCUUUAUAUUUUAUUUGUUAUUGCCAUAUUGUCAUCCAAAUUGUAAUUUAUUUUACAAAGAUAUAUAUAAGCUACCACCAUGCUGUGUCAAUAUAAUGUGUUUUCAUGAAAUUUAGGAACAUAUUUGUUGUAUGUUUAAUUUAACUCACAUAUUAUUUUAUUUUCAAAGCUCUAAUUGCAACUACUUAAAAUUCAUGGGAACAUAAUGAUCCAAAUUUGAAACAUUAGGGACUAGAAAUACGAAUUCAGAACUUUUGACUAACGCCAAUUUGAUGUUAACCAUUAGUUAUGAUGAUUUUCCAUUAGUUGUCCAAAGCUGUCUAAAAUCACGAAUUUUAGGGGUAAAUUUAUAUUUGUGAAAAUAGUGGGGACUAAUUUGACAUAUAAGCUAAACAUUGGGGACAAGUAAUCUAUAAGAACCACUGUAAGGUGCUCCAUAUGACGUAUGGAGGGUUUCAAGGUGCUUCAUAUGACAAAUGGAGAAUUUUGAGAAGAAUUUGUCGUGCAAUUUCCUAGCAUUGUUUGUUCUGAUAAAUACGUCACCAGCCUACCCUGAAUUGGAAUAAGAUAAUCUUUUUUCUCCACCCAAAUGUUAUAAUUACCAAAAAGAAAUUAAGACCACAUGCUUUUUUUGGCGUCCUAUUAGGACUUGUUUAGAUCAAACUAGUUGAAAACAAUGGUUGCUGCUACUAACUUGGUUGUGGAAGAACAUAUUGUAUUCCUACUCUACUCCGAAGAGCUUGAUGAACCUCAGAGUUUAUGAUGGCUAGUUAACGGUGGAGCAAAUACAACGAAUUUAUAUAUGUCUCCACAAUUAACGUGAACGUACUGAUUUAUAGAAGAAAGUUAUACUGUUUUUAAUGUGAAUGAGUUAUGGAUCCAACCUUGAUAAGUUUAGGUUAAUUAAAGUAACCACACGCAAUCAGGCUCAAUUAUAGUUUAGCCCCUUCAUUCACCAAGUAUGCAGAUCAAACCCCAUGAAUAAUAGUCAAAGCCAUGAAAUGAACUUUGUUUUAUGUCAAUAGCUGAAAAGACAAUUAUGCCAUCAGAAUUUCUAGCCUUGAUAAGUUCACCCUUCUCAUGCCAUUGGAUAAAAGUAUUCUCCCAUCGGAGAAAAUAUGUCAUUUAAAAAAGUUAAAUGUAUGACCCCGAAUUUUCACUCCUUGAAGUUUGCAACUCUCAACUUGAAAUAUAGCAUUUUGAACGGUGGUCAAAUCUAAAGGAGUGUGCUCAACUCUGUUCCCAUGGUCAUAAUGACCAAUUUACCCAUAACUAACUAUUAUACCCUCAUGGUGCACAAUCUAAAAUUUUCUUCUCUAUUGUGUCCUUGUUUGCAGGGGAUUACAAAUACGUACAAAGCACAUGAUCUUUAAUGAAAGGUCUUCUUCAGCUAUUUAUUCUGUGCCAAUAUUUAAAACCAAAAUCUCUCCUUUGUACAUAUUUGAAUUGGGGAGUGGUAUUGUGAACACUUUUCCCCAUGAGAAUAUCCCCCAUUUUAUACCUAUAAAACCCUAAAAAUAACUCAAUACAAAAACCUAAGUUGAAUGGAUAUUGCAUAGAUUGUUGAGAGUGGGUUCAAUUGGUAAGACUCAUUUAUUUUGCUUAAAAGAAGUUGAGAUUCGACUUCCAUUAUCAACGGUCUCUUAUUAAUAGGCAAUCUGUAAAAUCCACUAUAAAUUGUUGAAAGAUGCAUCAUUGGCCUACUUUAGCUUAGAAUGGAAUAACCUUUUUUCCUUCUAAACUUUAUUAUUACAAAAAAAAAAAGACCACAUGCUAUUUUUGGCAUCUUGUCACUUGUUAGGACCUGUUUGCAGAUCAAACAAAUUGAAACACCAUUUGUGUUUAGAGUUGUUACUCCACUACUUACCUAGUGGAGUAAUGCUUACCACGAAACCCCCGCUGUGUACAGAAGACACGGCAAAUUGGAGCAAAGUUUUUUUUUUCCCGACUGCCAAAAUGAUUUCAGUAGAAAAUUAAAGGAGGGACUAAGGAUUUAGUCCCUCUUGGAUUUUGUCUUUCUUCUUAAUUUCUUAUCGGUAAAUCCACUUUUUAUUACAUUUCUUACCACCAAUCCACUAGCAGUAGUUAUAGGGAGGCCAUGAAAAGAAAGUGCAUCCGUUUUCCUCCGUUCAAGUUUGAGAAAUACCUGAAUCGAAAAGCAGAUCAGCUUGCUGUUUUCAACCUGACGCAAUAAAUCAAGAAAAAAAAAGUUGAAAAUAGCUUUUCUAUUUUCUUUGUUUUCUUUUCUUGUUUGUUUAGCACAUUAGAAACGAGGUUAAUGUAGAAGAAUGCACAGAAGUUUGGCUUUUCACUGGUCGUUGGGAUCAAUUUGUGCUUCCCUCCUGAAGUACCUGAGCUGCAAAUAUUUCCGCAAGACUACUAAAAAAUCACAGUGGUAAUAAAACACAAAAAAAAAAACUUUCUACGUUGAUCAAUGGAAGUAAUUUUCGUAAUCCAUAAUUUACAUUGCCAAUGUGAUUGCACCAUAUUAAAUUUCCACGGGAUGCUAUAAUUCUUGAAUUCUCAAAUAAAGCAGCGAUUCUAUCAAUGAAAAGCUUGAUAUUUUUGCUUCUUUUGGCAAGAAUUUUCACAAACAACACAUAAAUUAACCCCACAAGAUACAACCAAAAGGGUGACUUUUGGUCGCACCCAUGGAACUUAAGUACUACUCACGCACACUCUUAACAAAUGAUGUGGGAUGUAGGGAUAGGAACAAGGGGAGCUUCUACUAAGCACUAAGGAGCACUCACUCACUCCGGUUCUUAAUCUCUCCAACAUGUCUUUUUUUUUUCUUUUGGCAAGAAUUUUCACAAAUAACACCUAAGUUAAACCCACAAGAUAAAACCAAAUGGCUGACUUUUGGUUGCACCCAUGGAACUUAUGAUAUUUUUGCUUCUUGAAAAGAUCCUUCUUAGAAAGGCCACUUAUGAGAGUUACAACAUUAUGAGAAUCCUAUUUUUUUAUAUAUAUAUUUUACAUACAUUACAUCAUAAAAAAUGAUAUACUGUUAUUUUCAAAGAUUUUUCCAAGUAAUUAUAUAACAAAACAUUCUAUAACACCUCUUGAAUAUGCUGUCAUUCAUUGCAAAAUAUUGGUACAAUUUUACAGCACAAAUGUAGCAUAACAUCACUGAUCUGACAAAGCCUUUCUAAUACAAUCACUUUACUAGGAGCUGAGAAUUUUGUUGCAGUAAAAACAAAAAAAAUUCCAAUAAACUUGAAGAAAAUAUAAAUAUCACCAAGAAAAAUUGAUUAACAAAAGUUUAGUGAUCGAAAAUUCCCAACCAGGGAAAAAAAAUACCUCGUUACCAAAUUCUUGUUAUUUUGUCUCCUUUCUUCCUCCCUCAUCCUUAAGAGAAUAAGAUGAAUAGAUUGAUUAAGGGAUAAGAAGAAGAAACCCUUCAUUAAACCAAAAGUAACCAGAACAAAGGAAGGGAUUUAUUUAAACACACUGAAAACAAUAGACUAAAAACCUUCGAAGAAAAUUAAAAAUAAAGACAGGAACAGCGGAAGAAGAAGCUUUCUUUUUUUGGAUGCCUGUAUAGUAGAGAUGAAGUAGCCAUCAACAAUUAAGGGAAUCAAGACUGUUUUAUAGUUUAAUCAACUUGCCUUUGCCUUUAGUUAGUAGGCUAACAAAAGAGAUUUGAGAGAGAUUUGGUAAGUUCCUCUUAUCCCAUACACAAGUUCCAUUAGCUUCCCCUUAUCCUCUAUCUUGGGAGUAAUAUAUAGUAGGAAUAGUACAUCGGUUGUUGCAUGAAGGAAACAAAAAUAAAGACGAGUAUCCAUUUUGGUUGGUCAAUACUGCAUUACUUGAUCAAGACAAUAAUGAUUACCCCAGAAAGAUUACUACAAUAAUGAUUACUUAAUAUUUUUCUUAAGUGUUUUCUUUGUGGCUUUUCCUUCCGGAAAUAAUCAUGUGUGCUUGGAUAUGUCGUCAUUUUCAAAACAAAAAAAAAAGUUUGACUUUCAAUCUGCUAAUGCAGACCAUUCGACAGUGUAAACCUAAAAUCUCGUAAUCAUUAGUGUAAACGACAAUAGGAUCAAGAACUGUAUCUGUAUGGUUAAUCAACAUAUUAACAGCUUUUCAGCAAUAGGAUGGUGAAAAGUAACUUGAUCGAGCAGGAAAAAGAAAAGUUAAUCAUUGAGGUUUGAUCUAACUAGAGAACCUUUUAGAACUUUUGCCCUACACUAGGUUAGGAGGAUUAAACCCGACCUAGAGUAUUACAAGGAAGCCUCAUUCUUCCUUUGUUAGAAAAAUCCAGAAAAUACAGCAAUAUACUCCUCUCUCCUAUAAGAUAGAAGUAAUAUAAAUUAUUGCUAUUAGACAAGAAAAAGAAAAGUAGGAAAAAGAAAAGCAAACAUACCUGACUUAAAAAAUUUUAUGGUCCUAAGAUCCCACGGCAAAAUACUGUCAAAAUGUGCCCUUUGAGAGUUGAGACCUGCUAUUCUAUCCCAAAGGGAGAGCAAGAAAAAGAAAAGCAAAAUCGAGAAAUAGCCGACUUAAAAAAUUUUAUUGUACUAAGAUCCCACUGCAAAAUAGUGUGGAAAAUGUAGCCUUUGAGAGGGAUUAAGAUGCGUAAUAACACUUCCUCUCACUAAGUAGAGGGUUUCUCUCUCUAAGUAAAAAUGCUCUCUCUUAGGUUAGGAGCUUCUUCACCUUUUUGGUGGGAAAAGGCAGAUAGCUCAAACUUUUUCAAACUCUCUGUUUCAAACACACAUAAUCCCGCUUUAUUAUCAUUAGGUAGUUCGAAGAUGGAUGAUUCAUCACCUCUGUCGGAAAUUAUGCAACCGAUACUUAUACCUCACUGAGAUUUGAUUUGCAUGGUUAGAAGUAGCUGAAGCGACACAAGCUCCAUAACUUGAGUAAGCCUUUGCCAGGUUUAAUGCGACUCUGUGCUCCCAUCUUUCCUUUGUACUCUUAAAGGUAAUCGUGAUCAGAGCAAUUUUUACUUUUUCUAGUUCGUUUUUGGGUCUUUACCAGUAAAAUCCUCUAGUGUUUCCUUUUGGUUUUUCUGUUUUCUGUUGUUUUUGGCCUGCUAGUACCCUGUUUUUGUCUGCGUCCUCUGUGUGUGGAGUAGCGAGGGCUGACUGUCCAUGGAGGGAGAUCUUUUGGAACUGCUACAAAAAUUCUCCUUGGAGGGGAAUGAGCUCUUAGGAGCUAUUUUGGAGGUGGAGGACCUUUAACAUGGUGUGAGAGCAUGCAUGGAUAGUCUCAUAGGCAGAGUUAUAGGAGAAAAAGUGACUAAUUUUACAGGGGUAAAAAGUUUUGUUGCUAUGGCAUGGGGAUAUCCGAGGAAUAUGACUGUUGGAACUGGGGCCUAAUGUUUUUCAAUUUAAUAUCCCAAAUGCUGAUGAGAAGGAAAAGAUUGUCAAUGGAGGACCUUGGGUGAUUGACAAUCAAAUGUUAGUGCUGAAAAAGUGGACAAAGGGGAUAGAGGAAGACUAUAAUGCCUUCACGGUAGCGCCCCUUUGGGUGCAACUCUGGAAUUUGCCAAUUCACUGGCUUUCCAAAGAGGUUGGAAAAAAGGUUGGAUCAGUGUUCACAUAUGUCAGAGAGGUGGUAGUACCUCAAUCUGGGGGGAAAGAGGGUAGACAUUUGAAGAUAUUAGCUCAGGUAGAUUUGUCUAAACCUCUUCUUCGAGGCACAGUGGUUAAGAUUGCAGGUGUUCUUAAGUGGAUUGCUUUUAAGUACGAACGGUGUCCUGAUUUUUGCUACAACUGAGGUGUAGUUGGCCAUAGUAAGAGAUCCUGCAAGGAGAGGAGAGUCCUAGGAGGAAGUCAUGUAGAAAACCAAUAUGGCCCAUGGAUGAGAGCUGGGAAUUAUAAAAGUUCACCUCUGAAAAGGUCUUAUAGGCCUGAAGUGUUAAGUGAUAAAAGGUACUGGUCCUAUCGAAAUGGAGAAUUGGUUAAGCAGGAGAGGGGUAGAUCUACAUUGGCUAAAUGUCUACUGGAAACGCUCAAGACCAAUGUGAAUGGGGGUGAUAGCAAUCAGGAGCUAAGAAAGGAUAGAGCAGAUGACAGGUUUGUGAAAGAUACAGGCACAUCUACAUAUGUUAAAGAUAGUAAGGAUGUUCCUCAAGGUAGUCAUGAGGAACGUUUGAACCCAGAUGAAAGGAACUAUGAUGUAUCUCAGGUGCAUCAGGUUGUUGAAGAAGGUAACGAUCCCCAGGAGGUUGAUAAGAUGGAGAAGGAUAGAUAGGUUGAGAUAUUGAGCCAUACUCAGAUUCAUGAACUGGGGACUAAGGAGGAGUCAGUAGGAACUCUUGUGCUUUGCCAGGAAAGCCAUUGUGCUGAAAGGGUGGAGGCAGUGAUAGAUAUGAAAGCCAAGAGGACUUUUAGGAGGUUGAAAUCCCCAACCAGAACUAGGAAAUCUUUGAGGGAGUUAAAUGGUAGAGGGGAUAAUCAGAUGAUGGUUGGGAAGAGGAAGUGCCUGAUUAGGGAUGAAGAGAUGGAAGAUGCCAACUCUGCGCUAGUUCAAUGGAAAAAAACUAAAGCUAUGGAGGAACUGUAUUCUACUGAUAUGAGGGGAGAGGAGGAGGGGCCUUCCUUAAAGGGGCCCCCAAAGGAAAAUGAGAGUCAUGGUGUGGAACUGUCAAGGAGUGGGGAGCCCCUUGACAGUUCCCCAGCCAAGGGAGGUGAAUAACCUCUCCUCUCCAAGUUUGAUUUUUUUAAGUGAGACUGAGAAUAGGAAACCAGUGCUUGAUAGGAUGGCUAGGGGUCUCAGGUUUGAUAAUUCUGUAGUAGUUGAAGCUAUGAAUAGAGCAGGUGGCAUGGCUUUGUUUUGGACUAAGGAUACACAUAUUCUAGAAGUGAACACUACUGCCUUCACUAUAGAGGCCAAAAUUGAAGAUAUUGACACCCAAAUUACUUGGUGGUUUGUAGGUUUGUAUGCCAGUUAUGACCAGAUGAUAAAGAGGGAGCAAUGGAGGGUGCUCAGUAGGAGGAAAAGGUUAUGGGGAGCGAGGUAUUUGAUAGCUGGGGACUUCAAUGACAUUUUAUCUAAUGAGGAAAAGUGGGGAGGAGUAGUUAGAGAGGAGAGGAGCUUUAGGGAUUUUAGGGAUUACAUUGAUCAUAAUAACUUAUUAGAUAUUGGUUUUGAAGGUCAACCUUGGACGUGGAGCAAUCACUGGAAUGAUGAUAGUGAAAUCAGGCAACGUCUGGAUAGGUGCCUUUGUAGUGUCGAUUGGUUCCAAGAUUUUGAGAAGGCAAAAUGUCAACACUUAGGCACUCUUGCUUCAGACCACUUCAUACUUAUGCUAGACACUGUCCCGGCAACAGAUAGGAAAAAAAGAAGGUUCUUUUUCAACAAGAGAUGGCUUCAAAAGGAUGGUGUGCAACAAGUGGUUGAGAAAGCCUGGAAUAAGGAAGAGCAAGGUUCCAAGAUGUUUAAAGUUACUAGAAAGAUUAGGAAUUGCAGAAUUGAACUCUUGAAGUGGAGAAAUUCUUUCCAAGCUAACUCUAGGAGUAAAAUCAAUGCUCUAAAGAAAGAUUUGGAGGAAGCUAGAAAUUUAGAGGCUGUGACUAGGAGGAAAAAUCUGAUUGAAAUUAAAGAUAAGUUGAGCACUGCCUGCAAGGAGGAAGAAAACUUUUGGAGACAAAAAGCUAGAAUUAGUUGGGUUCAGGAGGGGGAUAAGAGCACCAAGUACUUCCAUACCUAUGUCAAGGGUAGGAGAGUGUGUAAUAGAAUCAGAAAUUUGCAGAGAAGUAAUAGUUCUUGGACUAAGAAUGAGGAUGAGAUAAUGAAUGAAAUUUCUGGUUACUUUAAGGAGUUGUUUAGAAGUGGAGGGAGAUGUCUGAAAUCCUAGAGGGUAUUCCCCACUCCAUCACUCAGGAGAUGAAUGCAAACCUGACCAAAGCAGUAGAGGAAAAAGAAAUUCAAGGUGCCCUCUUUUCCAUGAACCCUGAAAAAGCUCCAGGUCAAGAUGGGAUGACUCCACUAUUUUUCCAGAAAUUUUGGAGUACCAUCAAGAGGGGCAUUAUCCCAGCAAUCCAAGCCUUUUUCAGCUCAGGCUUCAUGCUUAAAUCCAUUAACCAUACGGUUAUAUCCCUUAUUCCAAAAAUCCAGCACCCCACCAACCUAAAGAAUUUCAGGCCUAUCAAUCUUUGUUGUGUGCUCUACAAAAUCAUCUCUAAAAUUUUGGCUAAUAGGUUAAAGACUGUCCUGGACAAAUGCAUAAGCAAGACCCAAUCAGCCUUUAUCUCAAAUAGACAAAUCUUAGAUAACGUAAUUGUUGCUCAUGAGUACAUGCAUUACCUAAAAAACAAAAGGUAUGGGAAAGAUGGCUGCAUGGCAAUCAAGUUAGAUAUGACAAAAGCUUAUGAUAGAGUGGAGUGGCAUUUUCUGCAAGCAAUGAUGGAAAAAAUGGGAUUCUGCGAUAAGUGGAUUGAUUGGAUAAGUAGCUGCUUGACAACAGUCAAUUAUUCCUUGAAUUGUAAUGGAGAAGCUAAAGGGUUUGUUUCACCAGGAAGGGGCAUUCGACAAGGAGAUCCACUGUCUCCAUACCUGUUCUUAAUAUGCUCUGAGGGAUUUUCUAAUCUGCUAAGGAAAGCUGAAGAGAGCAAGAGGAUCUCAGGGGUGAAAAUCAGCAGGCAAGGUCCACUACUCACCCAUAUUUUCUUCGCAGAUGACUCACUCAUCUUUUGUAAAGCUAACAAGCAAGAGGCGGCUGAGAUAAUGAAAGUUCUAAAAGUCUAUGAAACAGCUUCAGGCCAGCUCAUUAACCUUGAUAAAUCUGCAGUUUUCUUCAGCAAGAAUAUGGAAUGUGAACAGAGAGGAGAGGUAUGUCAAAUCUUAGGAGGGAUGAUGGAAGCAAGGCAAGGGAAGUAUUUGGGACUCCCUAUGGUGAUUUCUAGAAUGAGGGAUCAGAUUUUUGGUUUUGUACGAGAAAGUAUAAAAAAAAGACUUCAGAAUUGGAAAAAUAAAUUCUUGAGCUUAGCUGGAAAAGAGGUCAUGUUGAAGGCAGUUGCAAUGGCCAUGCCUACAUACGUAAUGUCAUGCUUCAAGCUGCCAAGGAAACUUUGCAAAGACAUUAGCACUUUGAUGUCUAAUUUCUGGUGGGGAGAAACUGAGGGAAGAAAUAAAAUGCACUGGAUAUCUUGGGACAAAAUGGUAGCUCACAAAAACGCAGGUUGCGUUGGAUUCAAGGAUUUGGAAGCCUUCAAUAAAGCUCUACUGGGUAAGUAGGUAUGGAGGUUCCUAACUAAGCCAAACCUUCUUGUCAGUAAGGUCUUAAAGGCUAAAUAUUUCCCUCAAGAAUCCAUUUUACAAAGCACCCCUCGUAAGAACGCACCAUGGAUUUGGCAAGGAUUAAUGGGAGCAAGAGGUUUACUUGAUGAAGGCUUGAUCAGGAGAAUUGGAAAUGGUAGAAGCACGAGAAUCUGAGACCACAAAUGGAUACCAGAGACACUCACGGGGAAGCCAGCUAUGUGCAGAAUAAGUAAUUGUGAACUGGAAAUAGUGGAUGAGCUAAUAUGCCAGCAGAGAUGGAACAGGAAUAUCAUAUUCAGCAAUUUCAGCAAAGAAGAUGCUGAGAAGAUCGUACGUAUCCCCCUAAGCCUAUCUGGGAGGGAAGAUAGCUUCUACUGGAAAUCAAAAGCAGGAGGGGAGUAUACAGUUGACUCAGGAUAUAAAAUGCUGAUAGAGAGGGGUAGAAGCAAGAGGAGGUGCAAAUUGGAGGGAGCAGGAUCAAGCAUCUCAGAAGAAAGCCAACAAAUGACUCAGAUGUGGAAUACACUGUGGAGGCUUAAUGUUAAGCAUAAAAUCAAACACUUCAGCUGGAAGUGUAUUCAAGGAGCCUUACCAGUCAGGGAGGUAGUGUGGAGAUGAACAAGAAUAGACGAUCCUAUAUGCUCAACUUGUGGUGAGGCACAAGGAACUAUAGAACAUCUGCUGCUCAACUGUUCCCAUGCUAUGGAUAUAUGGAAAUCAGCUCCCAUUCAAUGGGAUGGAGCAACAGACCAGAAGGGACAUUUCAAGAGAUGGUGGCUGCGAAUUUCAGAAGCAAGGAGUAGACCAGAAGGGAGGGAUCAUAUUGGACUGACAGCAAAUAUACUGUAGCAGGUAUGGAAAGAUAGGAAUAAGAAGGAAUUUGAGAGCUCAGCUAGGUCAACACCAAUGAGAAUAGUAGACCAUGCGCAUAAAGAAUGGCUGGAACAAGGUAUAGAGCUUCAACAGGGAGAUAGGAAGAGUACAGAAAAAACAGUCCCUGCAAAUGAACAACAAAGCCAGAGCACUGGAAACGAAGGGGCUAUAAUUUUAGCAGUGACAACAGCAAAGGAGCAAGAACAGAAUGGCCUUGGAAUAGGAGUCACAGUAAGAACAAUAGCAAACACUAAAAUUGCAGACUGGGUAUUGAAAGAAAGAAGCCUGGGGAGCAAAAUGUUAGAUGAAGCAUUGGCUUUAAAAAUGGCUCUGUGUAAAGCUGUGCACCAGCAGUGGAGAAAGGUACGACUCAACUUUUGUAACAAAGGGUUAUGGAAACAACUAACACAGCAACAACCAUCAUAUAGCAAGAUGGCUACAUUGCUGGAGGAUAUUUUGAAUCUGAAAAGACCGUUUUGCAUGUGCUCUUUUGGGUUGGAAAAGGAAGAAAAUAUGUUAGAUAGUAGAAAACUGAGUGCAGAUGCUUUAAGCGUAAUUGUGGAUAAGGAAUGAACUUUCCUCAGUGUUCUUUGAACACUUUUUGUACAGUUCCCUCGAGCCGUUGCUCGUACAUGUAACUUUUUUUUUAUGACAAUGAAAUUUCCUAUCGUUUCGACAAAAAAAAGAGAGAGGGAUUAAGACCUGCUAUUCUGACCCAAAGGGACAAGUAGAGUAGAGCUGUCCGAUCAGUGACGUGACGAGGAUGUUGGUUUUGAUGAGAUAUUUGAUAAGAUAUACAAUAAAAUGUAAAUAGACUUUUGAAAGUGUUCCAUUGGCUAAAAUUUCUAAUGCACUUCUAUUUUCUCAUUUGUGCUGGCUCUUUUUAUAGGUUCAAUGGUUUAUGUUUUUAGUAUGUUUGUAUAGGUGAAGUACUUAUAGAAGAUGUAGACAAGUAUUCUUCACCCUUUUUGCUUGCUAUUGGCCGAAGUCACACACAAAAGCUUUCCAGCAGCUGUAGUUGACAAGCACAUACAUUCAAUAAAUGACGACUGGAUAAUGUCAUAAUUCUUUACAUUAUACUAAAACUUUAUUUGACUUUUUUAUUCUGCAGGUUUUAACAUCUACCUUCCCUGAAGGUUGAUUAAAUUAUCAAAAGAACCCUGUGAUUUGAGCAAAUUGCAUGUAUACCCAUACGAGUAAUAGCGUCUACACCCAACAAAAACGGUAGUAGGGAAAUGAAAAAAUUGUGCCUUGCAAAAAACUACAUUUAUCGCCCUCAAAAUUUGUCCAAAUUUUGAAAAGUCCCUAUAAUUUGACCACAAUGCAAUUUAACAUUUCAAUAGCCAAAUGCUUUAUUAAAAAAUUGCUUUACUGUGAUCCAUGAAAAACAAAGCCUAAAUUAAAUGAACUAAAUCAAUUACUAACAACUAAGAAAUGAGCAAAUAAAAAUAAAAUGAGAAAAUAUCUUAAUUUCUCCUUCUUGUGACUAACUUAUUUCAGUUGUUACCAUACUCGAUCAAUCCACUCUUUCCAUUAUACUAAUAUAUAUAUAUAUAUAUAUAUAUGCUAUUUGUUGUGUGAAAAUAGUAUUUAGCUACACUAUAUGAAUUUUUAUCCAUAACAUAAUACUAAAUUUUUAUCCUUAAUUCUUAAUAAGUGUCCUUUUAGGAAUUUUACUUCUGAUUUCCAAAUGGGAGUCAUUGUAUGAAAAUCUUAACUUUCAGUGCUUAGUAGUGGAUGUAAAAAAAAUAGGUUUUCUAUUUUUUAAAAAAAGAGUUUGAUUACUUAUACAUUGACAUGAAAAAGAAUUGUUAAUAUAGAAAAUGUAACAAUGGUGGCUAAAGAAACUACGCCAAUGACCAAAAUAUUUAUCAUUAGUGAUGCCAUAAAUGGAUAGAAAAAAAUUAGUAAUUGAUAGGUAUUGUGAGAAUUUUAUCGGCAUAGUUGCAAUUGAUGCAAUUUAUUAGUGGAAAAUGUUUAGUAAAUAAAAGUUUGGCUAUUUGAAUAAUUGGCUAAUUUGGACAAAAUUUUAAAUUUCAUUUUGUCAGUUUGACAAAUCUCGGGAGAGGUAAAUAAAAUUUGAAUAAAACUUAAAGGGCUGUAAAUGUAAUAAGCUGAAUUUAUUAAAAGGUAUUUUGGGAUUAAUCAUAUAUUGUUCUCAUGCAAGCAUAAUUUCUGAUGGCAAUUAACGUUAGAGGGAAUUUGAUAAACAUUUUCUCAUUCAAGGGGUUGGCUGUAAUUUAAUCAAGUUAUAGGGCUCAUUUGGUAAUUUGAUCAAACUUUAAGAGAAGUAAAUAUAAUUAGAGUAAAUAUUAUAUACACUGACAGUGUAUAUACUAGUACGAUCGGAUGCACGACACAUUUGCAAAAUUUGGGUUUCAAAUUCAAAUUAUAUAUUAUACAUCCAAUGGUGAAAAUGUAUACACUGUCAGUAUAUUUGCAGCAUUUUAGUCCUAUACAUUUGAAACUCGACUAAACCAGCAAUGGAACUUCACUGCAAUGUUCUUCAACUCAGUCAAAAUGAGUGACGAUCGACUGAGUGAUUAGUUCCGAGUUUUAUCGGUCCAAUUGGCCAACUCAUUGGUCCAUUGUUUUUCUUAUUUAUUAUAAACAUGUAUAAAGAAAUCUGAAAAUUUUCCAUCACCGAUGAUGAUUCUGCGCCAGAUCAGUUACAUUAUUUCUUUAAAUUCAUCUUACAAUGAGAGUAACAUCGAACAACUUUGGAACCAUUAACUGUAAGUGUCCUUUUCAGUGGGAAAAAUACUAUUUAAGUACCCAAUAAAGUUUCUUGGUAAGAUGAGAAGUCAAAAACAGUACAACUAAUGUUGCGAAAAUUAAAAACUGUAAUUUCUUCCAACCACUAAAGAAAGAAAAGGAAACUUCCAAAAUAACAAAAUCGUAAUUUAAGAAAAUAAACUUCAAACCACAAAAGAUACAUACCCAAAAGGCCAAAACAAAAAGAAAAAAAAUGAAGGAUACUUUAAACCAAAAAAAGUGGCUUUCAAUUGAUAACAAAACCAAAAAAAAAAAAAUGAUAACAAAACAACACCAUGUCCUAGUAUCACCUUCGUCGUACAAGAAUUAAAUAAAGAAAUAUAUGUCUGCAAAGGGGCUUUUCAAGGGAAAGCAAAGUGGAGAAGAGUUUGAUGUAGAUGAUCUUUGCAAAAGCAAGAAAAACGAAAAGCAUAAUUAGUUGUGUUUAUUUAGAUAAAUAGGAUUUUGUUAAUGUAAAAUAUUAUGUUGUAACAAUUAGUACUAAUUAGCAAGAUUAGGAAUGUCAAUUAGGAUCAAUUACAUCAUUAGUUAAGAUAUUUACCUUGUAUAAUAUUAGUGUAGGUUCAUUGUGUUUAGGUGUCUACGUUAAUUUGUAAAACUUAUAAAUAUAGACGUUAUAUCAUUGUACAAAUUAGGAUUUCAAUAAACAUUUUUCUCCAAAAUUGAUAUCUUUUAACAUGGUAUCAAGAGCUUUUUGCCCAAUCUCUCAAUAAUUUCGUUUUCCAUUUUCUUUCAAAUUUUUUUUUUUUUAACAAAGACUUUCUCGCUACUGAUUCUUCCAAUUUGUCAAUUUCCAAAUAGUUUCAUUGAUUACCCAAGCACUCCGUCUGUCUCCAUGUGCUCGUAAUCAAUUUAAUAAUUUUCGGGUAUCUGGCAUUAGCUUCAUUCGUGUGCCAGUUUGGUGAAGUACUGCCCGUUCCAUUUGACCCCAACUUAAUUUUUUUUUUUGUCAUUCGUCGCUAUUUUAUCUGUAUUCUACUUUAUCCUAAUCUAUUUAAGGGGAAACUCCACUGGACCUUGAAGGGCAGAUGAGAACUGAAUCACCAUCAAACCAAACGGGUGCACUACGCACCUAUCUGAAUUUUUUAGAAGAGCCACUUUAUUGUGACAAUUGGUGGGAGGCAAGAUUUAAAACCUUGACCUCCCACACCACCAAAUCUUAAGAGCUUGGUGGUGGCUACUAGCCCAAAGGCUGGUGGUUUGACUCCAACUUGUUUGAUCAGUCACGGUUGGUUUAUUGCUCCAGUCAAUAUAUUACCGAGGUCUAGAUCCGUGCGUGUUCGAGCUCCAGCAAUGACCCAUAUGCUGCUUCACAGGCCAUACCGAACCUGCGCUUCUCUUGUGCUGUUUACUCCAGCAGCAUCCUUCUAAUCAGACCAGAUCUGAUUCUCUUCUGGUUCACUCAAGUUCCUUCUUUCUUUGACUGGUCUAACACUUUUACACUCAAUUUUCUUACCACUCAAACCAGUUCCCAAGGUUUUCGAACCUUCUGAAUCCAAGUUUGGCAUUCAUUUUGUCUGAUUAUGCCUCAAUGGUUUAGUGCUACUUAUUUGUUAUUCAUUCUCAUAUAUAUAUAUAUAUAUAUAUAUAUAUAUAUAUAUAUAUAUAUAUAGGCUAUCAGCAUGGUUCAAGCAGAUGUAUCUCAGUCAAUUCGUCAAUUCAUAUUAUUCUUGAUGGCAUUAAUUAUCCUUAUUGGGUUCAAGUAUUUCUAAAUUUUCUUUGUGAUCGCAAACUUUGGAAAAAUGCCACCACUCAUCCUAUUGCCACCAUUGAGGAAUCCUCCAACAAAUUCAAUGCUUGGUUCGAAGAAUGAGAUAGUGAUAAUCAUAUAAUUAUCACUUGGAUUACUAAUACUUCUGUGCUUGUCCAUUAAUCGCCUUUUUAAGCAAUUUGACACUGCGAAGGGAGUUUGAAACUUCAUAGCCGACCGUUACAUUGCUAUUGAUCUUUCUCGAUCUAUAGUACCAACUUUCCCUUGGUCCUCAUGCUUUGAAACAACAGCCUGUCCAAUUUAUUCAAGAUUUUCUACUUUGACAUGGUCUACAUUUAGGAUGAAAUUAUUGAAUCUGAACCAAGGUGGGAAUAUACCAGUUAAGUAGACAAAUUUUAUGCCUACCGCGAUUCUCAUUGCCUUAUUCAGUUUCUUAUGGCAUUGCUGACGAGUUUGAAUAUACUCAAACCUCCAUCCUUAAUAGAAAGCUACUGCCUUCCCUUGAUACUGCUCUCUAAGUACUUGAUGUCUGAAGAGACUUGCUGGCAUGUGAGAACCCUUACUUAGAAAUAUAAAUUCUCCAAAAUUACUUGCAUUGCCCUAAGACUAAAUAAAUUAAAACAUUUCCUUGCAUUGCAUUCUACAUAAAUUGUAACAUCUCCUUGAAGUGGUAUCAUUUUAUUUCACUAUAUGUAUUAGGACAAAAUACCUUUGAAUUGUGUUUGAGACUUUAUGCGAUAGCUUAAGGGUGUUAAUUAGACAUUUAAAAACAUUUGGAGGAAAGAAACAUGAUUUGACAAGUUUAAAGGAAGAAUGGCCAAGAUUGAGACAAGUGGCAAUGCCCUAACCAUUCAACUUAUUUGACCAAGGAAAUUAGAAGAAUUUAAACGUUGUUGACUCCAUUUUUUCCUCCAUAUGACCGGCCCUCUCAAGCUUCCAAGAGAAGAAGAAAAACUCCAUUUUCUUGCUUGAAAACCCUAACUUAAACUUUGAGCAAAAACCAAAAGAGAAGGAACCCUAGUUAGUUGAGUGAAUUAUCUUCGAGGCUUGUGUGUGAUUCAAGCUUGGAGCUCUUGUUUGGAGGACUUUUUGGUGAUUCAAGCUUCACUUAAGAAAGGUAAAUGAUUCUUAAAUCUUAGCUUUAUUGUGUUAUAUCAAGAGUUUGAAGUUUUGAACACAACUAGAAGUUGAGUUGAUGUUAGUUGUGGUUAAACUCCUUGAGUUCAACCAGUGGAAGUAGGGUUGAUUGUAUGGCAUGCCAUGUGUUUGAUAUUUUAUCUAAACUUUGUUUAUGAUUUUCCUUGAUGUAUUAACAUGUUAUAGACCCUCUUAAGGUUAGAGAUAACUCUUGGAAUAUUGGUUAAGUUAACAAUAAUGAAAGAAUGGAGGUUGGAGUUGAAUGUGAACUUGGGGAUUGUUUUCUUUCUCUUUGUUGUCCAGCCAUGGAGUGGAGGUUUUCCUUGAUUUUUGUGACUUAUUGAACCUUAAUUAAGCUUAAAAAAUCUUGGUUAAACAUUGGUCUAAGUUUAUGUGUGAGUUGAGGUGAAAUGGAGCAAGUAAAGUAGUUAUUUUGGAUAAGAUAGCGGACUGUUUUGGUUCUUCCUUGUUGGCUGGAUUGUCUUGGUUCAUUUUCUCAUUUUGUGUGUUGAAUUUAAAGCUUAAAUGGUGCUAUUUAACUUGACCCCUGUAUUAUGAAUUUUAAGGGAUUGAAUUGGAUGAAUUUGAGCCAAAAUAAAUGAGGUUAGAAAGGAAGAAUGGGGUAAUUUUUGUCAAUGUAUUGAGCUGAGCAAAAUAGAAAAAUUAGUCAUUUUCCCCAGACUAUUGGUACUGAUAGGAGAGGAACUAGAGUUUGUAUUUUAUACCGUUGGAAAGCUCUUCAAGUCUAGUUUCCAACGCCGCAAAUGGCACUUGAUUCCGACUUUUUUACAGUGAGAUAUGGCCGUUUUCCUGAGACUGCACAUGUGUGACUGUUUACUGCGAAAACACUUUUGAACUUGAAUAAGACUUUUCUUUUGCUCAACUUUCUUGUACUUGUCAAACUGCUUUUCUUAUGACCUUUUCUUACAUUUCUGGCCUAACUUGCAUGGUAAAUUGAGUCGAUUAACAACCCACUUGGUCACCUAAUGAACUUAUGUUUGGGUUAGAAAAUGAAUCUAGAUUGUUAACGAUUUUAUUCGUUGCCCUAGGAUUGGGAAACGGAGGUGAACGUAACCAAGGAACUUGACGAAUAAACUCUGCAUUUCUUAACAGGUGAGUGUUCCACUACCUGUUCCCUGUCUAUGUGAGAUAUCUGAAUACUUAAUUUAAGAUGUUUGAUAUAAAUAUUUGAUUUGACAAAUUUGAGGCGAGCGUGUACUUUAUCACACUCGACCUCCUUCGAUUCCACUGAGGCUUUGUAUACUAAUAUUUUAAGAUGUGAUUUAUCUAUAUUUGAUUGUAUGUGUAUCGUUUGGGUGAUAUCCCAUCAACUACUGUGACUGUUUGGGUACCCAAUCUCAUAGGUGAAUCGGUUGUAUUGAGCUAGCAAGGGCUUGGUCGAGAAGGCCGAUAAACCCUGAGAACUGUUUACUAAAAUCUGGAAACUGGUAUACUUGAGUAUUACCUAAUUAUUCUGUUUGACGUAUUCGAUUCUGGUAAGGGGGUUGACUGGUGGACGAAAAUUGGAGUAAGUGGUGUUCUACGGAUAUUACAUCCUUGGAUGCAAAUGUUGACGGAGAGUCAACGGAUUUUCGAUACGAUCAAACUUAAGUGCAUUUCGCUUUUGGAAGCCACCCGUAUCCUUGAAUUGAAUUGUGAUUAACUUGUUCUAGUAUUGUAUUGUGUUCACUUGUUUAUAUUACGUCUCUAAUUGGUUAUGUGUUUACAUGUUUAUUUGAAAUCUCACUGAACUUCAGUUCACCUCACUUCUUUUAUUUUCCUUAGCAAAUCUGGGAUGGAACUGUGGUCAAGAACUUUCAUAACCUUAACUCUUAUCUUGAAAUUGUACUUUGGAUUGUAACCUUUUGUUUAGAAGAUUUUAAUUUUGACUUUUGUAAGCGUGAAUUUGUAAGUUUGCCGCAUACUAUAUAAAUUGAGUUUGGAGUUAUAAGUUUGACUUUUAAUUUUAUAUUCUAAGUUUGGGAAGCUAGCGUGGCGAUUAUAUUUUCAUUAUGGUUUGUACCCUUUACUUCGAAGAUAUUCCGUUAGUUUUCUUGGGUUGCUAGUUCAUUAUUCGACUGAGUCUCGGUAAGAGUUGGACAAGUAGUUCGCUAAUCCUUAGGGUUCGCCCUGAGGAGAAGUGGAGUUGUCACAUGGCAUACAUCUACUCCACGCUUUUACUGAUAUGGUUCUCGCUUCCUCUCGUCAGGCGAGCUCGACAUCCCGAUCUCCUGCACCUUCCUCUUCAACCUCAACAAAUAAGUCAACUAUUGAAUGCAAGUAUUAUCAUCGCUUAGGUCAUACUAUUGUUAAGUGUAACAAACUCUAGUGCAAAAAAGGAAUAUCAAGGACAGCGUCUCUAGAAUUCUACUUCUCGCAUUGUUGUUGCUCCUGAUGUCACCAACUCACUUCCCGAGUAUACUCUGUUGUUUCCAUUAAUGUUUUUGAAAAUCGGAUCGGACCGGCCGGUUCGAUCGGUUGAACUGCAAACCGGCCAUGGCACCAGUCCGAUUCAAUGCCAUAGUUGACUUUGUCAGAAAACCGGUCAAGAACCGAUCGAACCGUAAAAACCGCGAUUGAACUGCUAUUGAACCGGUUUUCAACCUUCCUCUUUUUUUUUUUUUUUUUUUUUUUUUUGCAAAAUGCAGCUAUCAAGAUUCGAACUCAAAACCUUUGUAAUAGAAGACCAAUGUAUUAACCGUUGCACUAUCACAUCUUAUUAGUUUUUUUUGAUAACUUAUUUAUAUAAAGCAAACACUCAUAUUUCUUUUUUUCAUUUUUUUUACAAAAUCUCAUCCUCUCAUGGUUCUUUCUUUUUAAUUUUCAACUCUCUCUCUCUCUCUAUCCUCUUUUUUUUUGUCACUCCCUUUUUAAUCAAACCUCUUUAUUUUUAAUUUAUUGAUGUUUUCUUCCAUCUUUUAAUUUUGUUUUUGUCCAUUAAAUUGAAAAAAGUUAAAAAUGAAUUAUUUUUUUAACCCAAAUUAUUUAAUGCUACAACCAUUCACUUUUAUCUCAUUUUUUGUUUCUUAUCAAGUUUACAUUUCUAUUUUCGAUUUUCUUGACUUCGUUCGAACUCCAAACUUCCUUUUUUAAAUUGCAAUCUCUAAAACGUAAAUUAAAAUUUAAGUUCACAAUAUCUAAAUUCUCAUAGACGUGAAUUUUGUAUAAUUUCAAAAUAUUGUGAUAUUUUUGGGUUGGAUUUAGAUAUAAUUGAAAUUGAGAUGAAAUUUAUUUGUUUUAACUUAUAAUUUAAAAAAUUUAUUUUUAAAAAAUCCAAGUUAUUAAAAAAUAGUAAACCUUUCAUCAUAUAAAGUAUUAAAUUAAUCCAUUACAUGUCUUAUUUUGUACAUAUGAAUAUUUAUAUAAAUAAUUUUUUAAAAAAUUCAUUGAACCGAGAUUGAAUCGGUUCGACCGAUUGAACCUCGACCCUUUCACUUCACCGGUUCAAUUAACGGUUCGAUUUUUAAAACAUUAGUUUCCAAUGCUGGGCAUUCAUCUCUUGCUACCCUCAGGCCAUUGUUUUUUUAAGUCUUUGCUUGCAUUCCUCAAUCUUCUACUAAUACUUUUUCUGUCACAUCAAGUGUCUCUUUACGGAUUAUUGAUUCAAGAAAUUGGUAAUAAUAUGAUAUAUAACUCAUUGUCGAUAUAUGUAAAAUUUACUCUAAAGAAUUAAUUUUUUUAUACCAAUUUUAUCGAUUUUCGAUCAAACCUGAUAUUUGGUUGAAUCUUUGACAGACGGGUUUUUACCCAUACUUGAACCGAAAAUCUGACCAAAUGUCGGUUCAAUCAGUCAGACUGGCAAGCACUGUCGGAGUUUAAAAACAUCACUAUGUAACUGAUCACGUUGAAUUGCUAAAUUUUCCAAUUGUGAGAUGCAACUUUUUAUUCGAAAUGACUGGCAAGACAAAUGACGCAAAGUGAACCACCGACUGUUAUUCAAUCCAUGUCAGUACCUAUAACGCCAAUAAUUGAUUGUCCCCACGGUCAUCAUAGGCUGGAUGCGUAUUUUUCAUGACAAGGUCAAUUUCAUUGCAAUUGAUAAAUAGAACAGAUAUGGAACCUGCGAGUAGGGUACACGGCAUUUAAGAUGAUGUCCUUGCAACACUUUUUAUCUCUCCUUGUUUGAGUAGAUCAUAUGAUAUUUGGUGUUGUUUUUCUUUCAAUAUAAUAUUUGUUGUGGGGAUUUUAUCAAACGAUAAGCAUGAUGCCUUGCACCUUUUAGUAGCUUUCUUUGUUUUUUUCUUUUCAAGAUUUGGGUAUUGGGUAAUUUUGAGAUGUACUAGAGUUCCAAAGCUUAUCCAAUGCAAAUUUGAAAAUUUCAUUUCCGUUUUUAAUUUACCAGUACUUAUUAGCUUCGGAUCAUAGGCAUAAUUAGUUUGUCAUAUCCUAAUUAACUGAUUGCCUCACUAUUCAAGGUUAAUAUGCUUAUUGAAACACUACUCUUUUUUUUUUUUUUUUUUUUAAGACCCCAUGGAGGGUUGUGGUCCCAAUCUAUUACAUUAUACAGCAUCCAAUUCGAGUAUAGUUAAGUCCAUGACAUCUAAAAUUCAAUAAUUUUCUAAACUCUUUUGGAGGUGUAUCAAAGAAUUUAAGUCUUAGGGUGCGUUUAAUAAAACUGAAAUUUGAAAGCUAAAAUCUGAAGUCCGAAUUCAUUAUUGAAUUACAUUUGACCAAUUUUUUUUUAAUAAAACAUCAUCAUAACAUUAAAUCUAUACUAAUAGCACAAAUUACAUCAAUCAUACACAAAUACAAAUAGAUCUAAAAAACAAAUACUUGAUAUUACAAAUCUAAAAAAUUAAUAGAAUAUUACACUGUAAAACUCCAAUAAUAUCAAAAGAUAAAACAUUUAUUGGCCCAAUAUCAUAUAUGCAUGCUUCCAACUGUGUUACUUAUGUUCUCCUAGAUCUGCUAAUUAACUAAUUCAAAUUCAGAUGUUAAAGUGAGAUCUAAUUAGGUAGAUCUAAAAGAUUUUAGAUUCGACAACCAAAUAUGAGAAAACUUAGAUCUAAUACAAAAAAUAAGAAAGAACUACAAAAGCUGUCAGUAGAAAUCUCUAUGAGAGGAGAAAACAUCACUAAAAAUUCUUAAGAGAGAAUAAACUCUCACUAGGAAACUCCAUGAGAGGAGAAUAACAUCUUUUGCUACUAGAAUAACAUUUCCCUCAAUUUGAUGAGUACAAGAGUUUCACAUACUAUCCUCAUCCACCAAGCUUCACAAACAAACUGAAAAUAGUAGAACACAAAUGCAUCCAUACAAUGGUGAAGUACUUUUAAAUUCGACAUUGCAGGACAAGGUAUGUGAACGCCUAGGAUGAAAUAUGCAAAAAGAUUCUUGAAGACCACAGGCUACGAGUCUUGAUUAGGCACUUCUCUGCUGUAAAAUUUUCCCACUACUCUGGAGUCCAGAAUUUCAAUGGCUUUCUCAGACUUUAUGUUCUUAGGUGUCUUGUACUGGUUUAAAGAAGUUCCUUGAGAAACAUAAAAGUCCAUGAGCACGUUGAAUGUUCCUUGUUUCACAACUCUAAUUUCCGAAGGACCAAUGGUACUAAUGCUCUGAUUCCUCAACAACUUAUAUUUCUGGUCCAGAGAUUGUUCCACUAAACUACAGCAUUUUUCCAUAUUAACCUGAUCAAGUACAGGAAAGUCAUCAUUUGAUCUCAGUUGAAGCUCCCAAAAGAGUACAUAGUGACCAGGAAUAGAGGAUGUCUCAGCAUAGCUGCUGUAAUCCAAAAGCCCAAGUGGUUCAAGGAUAUGCAUUGCAAUUGUAACUGCAUUCUGGAGGUCUUGUUCAGUUGUUUUAUCUGUGUCAAUGCUCAAAACCACAUUUCUCCUUUGUACAAAUUUGAAUUGGGGAGUGAUAUUGUGAAAACCUGUCACCAGGAGAAUAUCCCCCAUUCUGUACCUGUAUAAACCUGAAAGUACACGCUUCUAUCAAUAUUCUAGAUAUUAGAGUGUUUAAGCAUUUAACUGUCUAAUCAUCAUUGGUUGUGUGUAUCAGGAUAAUAAAUGUACCGAAAAACAGAAUGUAAUAAACCUAUAUUCGACAAAUUUGAACAUCAGAUGUCCAAGGCAAUUGUUAAGUAGAAAUUAAUGGAACUACCAUCCAUUUUAGAACAUGAUAAAGGGUUUAAAAUGGAGACCAGUAGACACCUUCAAGAGGCACUUCUGUGUUUUAUAGAAUACUUUUUCAUGGGUCAGACUAACAGAAUUAUAGUUCAUAUUUGUGGUACACCACAGGCAGUUAGGGUCAAUUCAAAAGUACAGUAAUCUCACCUAUAAAGGCGCAACGGUCGUGACAAAAAGUUCAUAAUGCUGGCCUAUCUUAACAUUAGCAAGAUCCACAAUGUGAUCUUCCAAAUGAGCAUCUUUCCUGAUGGUGCAGUUUGGAUCUUGAUGAUUGUCAAUUGGUAAGAACUCAUGGUAGGCCAUGUUUGGUAUAAAAAUAUACGAGACAUCAUAAGGACUGCACAAAGGUUUCAUGUUAAUCCCAAAAACUGCCUCUGAAGAACCAUAAACUGGUGAAACUACAGGUAACCCACCCGUAUAGACCUCAAGCGCAGGGAUAUAUUGUGCCAUGGACCCUGUAAUAAUGGCCAUGACAUACUUGGUCCUUGGCCAGAUCUUCUUAAUUAUCCCUUCCCAAGACUUUUCUUGGCAUACAAGAUCAAUUGAAUCAGCCAAGUCCGGCAUUUGUUUGCUCAAAAUCAAGGAGACAGCCCUUUUGCAGUUAGGGUCAGUGAUCCAAUCACUCAUUUGCCCAGUUCUUAUGUUCGAAGACAUUUCUUGCCAAUUUUCCUUGAAAAAUUUGAUUAUCCAUAUGUCAUAUGAAGCACCUUGAAAUCCUCCAUAUGUCAUAUGGAGUGCUUUAUAGCAGCUCUUAUAGAUUACAUACUAAUGAGAGAAUGCUAGUAACGAUACUUGUAUUUGAACUUCCCUUAGAUCAGUUUCAAAUAAAAAAACUUUCCUUAGAUGAUGUGAACAAACCUUACCAAGUGAACCCAAUCUCAAAAAUACUAGUAAUACAAUAAUAUGCAAAAUUAAAAUGAAUGUUCCUCUUCAGUGCAACUAAUUGUGUCUUGACAAGCAAUUUCGUUUGUUUGGAUAGGGUAUUAUUUGAAAUGUUAUUUGGAAUAAUUACUGUAGCACUUUUUGUGAUGUGAUGUAUGUGAGAUAAAAAUGUGGUUGGAAAUAUAAAAAGGUGGGUUGGGAAAUGUGUUUAUGAUGCAAGCGAAAUAUUAUUUGGGAUAAUUUCACUAUCCAAACGAAAUCCAAUUUCAAAUUCACCACCACCAUGUGGGUCAUCAAUUGUAUGAUGCAAUUGCCUAGCAGUUUCAGAAAGUCCCUUUCCCUAGUUGACUACCAAAUGAAAUUGGAUAAAUUCUAUUUUGACCCCCUAAACUAUAUCCAAUUUCUCACUUCAGUCCCUAAACUUUAAAAUGGGACACUUAGGUCCUCAAACUACUGAAUCCGUCCCAAUUAAGUAAAAUUGUUGACAAUUGUCAGGGUUUUCUGAGCGUACAAAACAAGCGCCAUUGACCAAGGGUGGGGAUGCAAAUUCAGAGAAAAGAUAUAAAAAGAAAGAAAUUUAUUUAGCAUAAAGGAGGGAAAAGGAGGGAAACUUUCCCUCCUUUUAUUAGGCACAUUCGGGUGAUAUAAUUGAUUCGAUCCAAUUCAUAAAAGGGAAGAGAUGUGCCCUAAUACAAAAGAGAGCAAUUGGCUGAAUAUCCAAAUGAGGGGUAUGAACUAAGAGGUUGAGAGCUUUAGAAAAUCUGAAGAUAAGAAAGAAGAGAAAGGAGAGAUGGUUAGGGACACAUGCAACAGUGGAAAACAAGCAUUGAUGAUGGCAAUAUGGACAGAUUUAAACCCAAGAAGAAGGUUUUGUCGAUGUCCAAAUUACAGGAUAAUUCCAUUUCCAUUAUAUCUGUUUGUACUUCUUCCCUUAUGGUUCCGAUUUGUAUGCAAUGCAUCUAAGUAAACCUGUAUUUACUCUCUCAAUGGUGUUGUCAAUGUAGGAAACGGGGGAAUGCAGUUAUUGGGAUUGAGUGGAUCUUGAGAUGUGUCAAAGGUCCAAGGAUAUAAUCCCUGGACUAAUAAGAACAAAAAACAAAUUGAAAUCUAAGAUUGAGAGGUUGCAAGAGAACUCAAAGCUGUAGGAAGCAAAACUAAGGAGGCUAAAGAUGUACUUGUUUCUUCAUUGGGUUGUUGUUAUAUGAAUGCUUUUGUUCAAAUUUGGGCCAUAAAGGUCAUCAUUGGAGUUUGACAAGAAACAUGUCCAUCUAUGUGGGAAAAGAAGCAAUGGUGUAGUAGAAUAACAUAGUGCAACAUGCAAUGCAAUGCAUAAUGGCGCUAUGUAAUUGGGAUGGAAAAGAUGUAAUUUUUGUCUCUCUGUAUAAGCUGCGGUUCUGGUGUAAUGUAGCAUAUGCUUGAAGGAGCACUAGGUUCACUAAUUUUGGAUACAAUUUUUAGUUUAGGGGAUUAUGUGCUCUUUUGUUUGAACUUUACGGACCUAAGUGUCCCUAGCUAAUGAAGCAUUGGGAUUGAACUAUCCCUUUUUGUAUAGUUGAGGGACUGAAGUGUCCCAACUUAUUGAACUACUUUUGACAGUAAAUGAUAAACCUGUAAAUAUGUGUAACACCACCAACUGUUUGAGACAAUAGAUGCAAUUGACAAUGGACUGAAUUUGAUCAUUUAAGAAGAAGGCAUGUUUAGCCUUACACCAAAAGACCAGACGUUUCACAAAUUUACAAAACAAUAGCAAAAAUUUCUUGGCAUUUACAACAUCAGUUGCCAUUUACAAAACAUCACUCCCCAAAAUAUAAUGCGAACAAUUUAUAGCAAUAGAAAUUCACAAAAACCAGCUAAACAUAGAGCUGCAACACAUUGCCAUUUACAAAACACAGCUAUUUUCUUGUGUGAUUUAAAUUUUCUAACUUUGCAGCUUCAUUUGCAUUCCUAUAGAGCUGAACAUUGGCCAAUGCUAGUUGAAUUAUUCAUAUGACCUACUGCUGCCUGCAAUGUAGAUAGAUUUACACACAUGUUCCCCCUCCAAGUGAAGGGGGUUGGUUGAAGUCGUUUGGUGACACGACUAGUUGAACCCAGCUCUUCUGUUUGCCUAUCAUCAAUGUAUGAGUCUGGUGAUUUCAUUGUUAUCCCUGGAUUGUGUGAAUAAAGUUUUUCACCAGUAUUGGAGUUCAACUACAUGUCAGGAGAUAACAAGUAGUUAAUAAAAGAGUGAACAUAUUUGUAUCUCACACAGCAACAAAUGCAAAUUUCAAAGCACUGGCAUGUCCAGAUUCAAUUUCCUUUGAAGCUGUCUCAUAUGGGUUAAUCAGGGAAUCAGUUGCAACACUGUUGAGUCCAAGUUCUCCAGUCAUGUCCAGUGAGUUUCUAAAGAUCCAUUGCCUCAGCUUGCCACCUUUCUUUGAACGGCCAGGUUUCUUGCAAAAUGAGCAUUUUCUUGUGCCCUUGAUUGGUUGUUCUCCAUCAAUUUUUUGUUCAGUCUGAUUUUGAAGAGUAGCUGUGCAGCUCUCUUAUGUACUUAAUUGAGUGACAUUAGCAGUACUUGGACUAGUACUAGUAUGCCUUGUUUCAUUUCUGAUGGCAUCUGUUUGUUGUGUGCUGUUCCCACUAGAUUCCUUGUCCAUAUGCCCAUUUGGUCUCUUUUCUACUGUAGCAGUUUGCUAGUUUUUUUAGGGCAACUGAUAAGAACCCGCCCGGAGGUAUGAACUCAUAUCCCACGUAGCUCCCAGAUCUAGACGAAGGAAUCAAGUUGGUUUGCGAAGCAACACUCGAACACCUAACUCUAUGAAGCGAACCUUGGACUUAACCUCAACCCACAAGCACUCGAGUAAGUGGAACGAAGUUACAAGUAGAAGAACGCCACAAUCAAGGUGUGUACUUGAUUGAUAAGUUCAAUUGAAUACUCUCGAGCAAUUCUCAAGUAUUCAAAGGGGCUCUCAUAGACAAGAGAAAAGUGUAAACACUCAAAUUUCUGAAAUAUUAUUGAAUGAAUAAAACUGUUGGUGGUGUGGGCUAUUUAUAGCCUUACAUAGAGAAGAAAACCUAAAGUGAUGUGGAAUUGAUUCUAGAAAUCCUAAAGUGAUUUGUAAUCACUUAUUUCCUAAGGACUAAAGGACUUAGUUUCAGCCAAGGUGGCCUAGUGGGCCUGGCCGAACCUAUGAGGACACUUUAUCACUAAAAUAAAACAAGAUAAUGGACUAUCAAGCCCUUAUUUCAACGACUCAACUAAUGACCUCAGAAAAUGAGAUUUUAAUCUUUGGAUAGAGCUCCCAUUUCCACUUCGCUUGACUCAAGGACUUGAAUGAGAGUAUAGCGAAUUGUCUUGUCUUGCUCAAGCUCGGUUUCAAUGCGUGCAUGGUCAAUUCCCUCGUAGGUGGUGCAAACUAGUGUUUGCAUGGACUCUUUGAGCUUCUUGGCACCAGCCCUUGUCAUUGGGCCAUUGAACUCCAUUUGGUCCUUUUGGUCCUCCUUCACGGCCUCAAGGGCAGCCGCUCCUCACUCUUGCGUCAUUCCCCUCCUCUUAAAGGCGAUUUGUCCCCAAAUCAAGCUCAUCAUCUACAAGAAAAGGGCUUAAGUCAGCCACAUUAAAGGUAGCGUAGACACCGUAAUCACCUGGUAGGUCCAAUUUGUAGGCGUUAUCAUUGAUGCGUUCCACCACUUGGAAAUGACCAUCUCCUCUAGGCAAGAGUUUGUUGCGUCAUUGCAUGGGGAACCUCUCCUUGCACAUGUGAAUCCACACCCAAUCACCUGGCUCAAAAAUCAUCUUGCGACGACCUUUGUUAGCAUGACGAAUAAAUUGGAAUGUGCGCUUUUCAAUAUUAUCCCUUACCUUUUGGUGGAAGGCACGCACUUGCUCAGCCUACUUCAACCCAUCCAUCUUAGUUCGCUCAGUUAUAGGUAAAUGUGAUAAAUUCAAAGGCGUGAGAGGGUUAAAAUCAUAAACGACUUCAAAUGGGGAAUAGUGUGUGGUGCUAUGGACUGUGCGGUUACAGGCAAAUUCAACGUGUGGCAAGCAAUCUUCCCAUGACUUUAAAUUCUUUUUGAUAAGUGCACGCAACAAAGUAGAGAGUGUCCUAUUAACUACUUCAGUUUGACCAUCGGUUUGAGGGUGACUAGAAGUAGAGAAUAAGAGUUUAGUUCCUAGUUUACCCCAUAACGAUUUCCAAAAAUAACUGAGGAACUUAACAUCUCUAUCACUAACAAUGGUGCAUGGCAUUCCAUGUAGUCUAACAAUUUUCCUAAAGAACAGGAAAAGAUACCAUGUUAAAAGAUAUCAAUUUUGGAGAAAAACGUUUAUUGAAAUCAUAAUUUGUACAAUGAUAUAACGUCUAUAUUUAUAAGUUUUAUAAAAUAAAUGUAGACACUUAAACACAAUGAACCUACAUUAAUAUUAUACAAGGUAAAUAUCUUAACUAAUGAUGUAAUUGAUACUAAUUGACAUUCCUAAUCUUGCUAAUUAGUACUUAUUGUUACAACAUAAUAUUUUACAUUAACAAAAUCCUAUUUAUCUAAACAAACACGACUAAUUAUUCUUUUCGUUAUUCUUGCUUUUGCAAAGAUCAUCUACAUCAGACUCUUAAUCUUGCUAAUUAGUACUUAUUGUUACAACAUAAUAUUUUACAUUAACAAAAUCCUAUUUAUCUAAACAAACACGACUAAUUAUUCUUUUCGUUAUUCUUGCUUUUGCAAAGAUCAUCUACAUCAGACUCUUCUCCACUUUGCUUUCCCUAGGAAUGCUCCUUUGCAGCACAUAUAUUUCUUUAUUUAAUUCUUGUACGACGAAGGUGAUACUAGGAGAUGGUGUUGUUUUGUUAUCAUUUUUUUUGUUUUGUUAUCAAUUGAAAGCCACUUUUUUUGGUUUAAAGUAUCCUUCAUUUUUUUUCUUUUUUUUUGACCUUUUGGGUAUAUAUCUUUUGUGGUUUGAAGUUUAUUUUCUUAAAUUACAAUUUUGUUAUUUUUGAAGUUUCCUUUUCUUUCUUUAGUGGUUGGAAGAAAUUACAAUUUUUAAUUUUCACAACAUUACUUGUACUGUUUUUGACUUCUUAUCUUACCAAGAAAGUUUUUUGGGUACUUAAAUAGUAUUUUCCCACCGAAAAGGACACUUACAGUUAAUGGUUCCAAAGUUGUUGGAUGUUACUCUCAUUGUAAGAUGAAUUUAAAGAAAUAAUUACAUAUGUAACUCAUCUAGCGCAUAAUAAUCAUUGGUAAUGGAAAAUUUUUAGAUUUCUUUAUACAUGUUUAUAAUAAAUAAGAAAAACAAUGGACCAAUGAGUUGGCCAAUUGGACCGAUAAAACUCGGAACUAAUCACUCAGUCAAUUAUCACUCAUUUUGACUGAGUUGAAGAACAUUGCACUGAAGUUCACAUGCUGGUUUAGUCGAGUUUCAAAUGUACAAGACUAAAAUGCUGCGAAUAUACUGAUAGUGUAUGUAUUUUUACCAUUUGAUGCAUGACACAUAAUUCGAAUUUAAAUUUGAAACCUAAAUUUUGCAAAUGUGUCGUGCAUCCGAUCGUGAUAGUGCAUACAUUAUCAGUAUUUAUAAUAUUUACUCUAGUUAUAUUUACUUCCAUUAAAGUUUGAUCAAAUUACUAAAUGAGCCCUAUAACUUGACUAAAUUAGAGUCAAUUCCCUUGAAUGAGAAAAUGUUUAUCAAAUUCCCUCUAACGCUAAUUGCCAUCAGAAAUUAUGCUUGCAUGAGAACAAUAUAUGAUUAAUCCCAAAAUACCUUUUAAUAAAUUCACCUUGUUACAUUUACAGCCCUUUAAGUUUUAUCCAAUUUUAUUUACCUUUCCUGAGAUUUGUCGAACUGACAAAAUGAAACUUAAAAUUUUGUCCAAAGAGAGUCCCCUUCACUUGAAGGGGGAACAUGUGUGUAAAUCUAUCUAGCAGCAGCAAGUCAUAUAAAUAAUUCAACUAGCAUUGGCCAAUGUUCAGCUCUAUAGGAAUGCAAAUGAAGCUGCAAAAUUAGAAAAUUUAAAUCGCACAAGAAAAUAGCUGUGUUUUGUAAAUGGCAAUGUGUUGCAGCUCUAUGUUUAGCUGGUUUUUGUGAAUUUCUAUUGCUAUAAAUUGUUCACAUUAUAUUUUUGGGAGCUGAUGUUUUGUAAAUGGCAACUAAUGUUGUAAAUGCCAAGAAAUUUUUGCUAUUGUUUUGUAAAUUUGUGAAACGUCUGGUCUUUUGGUGUAAGGCUAAACAUGCCUUCUUCUUAAAUGAUCAAAUUCAGUCCAUUUUCAAUUGCAUCUAUUGUCUCAAACAGUUGGUGGUGUUACAAAUGUUUACAGGUUUAUCAUUUACUAUCAAAAGUAGUUCAAUAAGUUAGGACACUUCAGUCCCUCAACUAUACAAAAAGGGAUAGUUCAAUCCCAAUGCUUCAUUAGCUAGGGACACUUAGGUCCCUAAAGUUCAAACAAAAGAGUACAUAAUCCCCUAAACUAAAAAUUGUAUCCAAAAUUAGUGAACCUAGUGCUCCUUCAAGCAUAUGCUACAUUACAUCAGAACCGCAGCUUAUACAGAGAGACAAAAAUUACAUCUUUUCCAUCCCAAUUACAUAGCACUAUUAUGCAUUGCAUUGCAUGUUGCACUAUGUUAUUCUACGACACCAUUGCUUCUUUUCCCAUAUAGAUGGACAUGAUUCUUGUCAAACUCCAAUGAUGACCUUUAUGGCCCAGAUUUGAACAAAAGCAUCCAUAUAACAACAACAACCCAGUGAAGAAACAAGUAUAUCUUUAGCCUCCUUAGUUUUGCUUCCUACAGCUUUGAGUUCUCUUGCAACCUCUUAAUCUUAGAUUUCAAUUUGUUUUUUGUUCUUAUUAGUCUAGGGAUUAUAUCCUUGGACUUUUGACACAUCUCAGGAUCCACUCAAUCCCAAUAACUGCAUUCCCCCGUUUCCUACAUUAACAACACCAUUGAGAGAGUAAAUAUAGGUUUAUUUAAGUGCAUUGCAUACAAAUCGGAACCAUAGGGGAAGAAGUACAAACAGAUAUAAUGGAAAUGAAAUUAUCCUAUAAUUUGGACAUCGACAAAACCUUCUUCUUGGGUUUAAACCUGUCCAUGAUGCCAUCAUCAAUGCUUGUUUUCCAUUGUUGCAUGUAUCCCUAACCAUCUCUCCUUUGUCUUCUUUCUUAUCUUCAGAUUUUCUAAAGCUCUCAACCUCUUAGUUCUUACCCCUCAUUUGGAUAUUCAGCCAUUUGCUUUCUUUUUAUUAGGGCACAUCUCUUCCCUUUUAUGAAUUGGAUUGAGUCAAUUAUAUCACCCGAAUGUGCCUCCUUUUCCCUUCUUUGUGCUAAAUAAAUUUCUUUCUUUUUAUAUCUUUUCUCUGAAUUUGCAUCCCUGCUCUUGGUCAAUGGCGCUUGUUUUGCACACUCAUAAAACCCUGACGAUUUUGUGGAUUUUGUCAACAAUUUUACUUAAUUGGGACGGAUUCAGUAGUUUGAGGACCUAAGUGUCUCAUUUUAAAGUUUAGGGACUGAAGUGGAAAAUCGGAUAUAGUUUAGAGGGUUAAAAUAGAAUUUACCCAAUUUCAUUUGGUAGUCAACUAGGGAAAGGGACUUUCUGAAAUUGCUAGGCAAUUGCAUCAUACAAUUGAUGACCCACAUAGUGAAAUUAUCCCAAAUAAUUUUUUGCUUGCAUCAUAAACACAUUUCCCAACCCACCUUUUUAUCUCCAUACAUCACAUCACAAAAAGUGUUACAGUAAUUAUUUCAAAUAAUACCCUAUCCAAACAAACGAAUUGCUUGUCAAGACACAAUUAGUUGCACUGAAGAGGAACAUUCAUUUUAAUUUUACAUAUUAUUGUAUUACUAGUAUUUUUGAGAUUGGGUUCACUUGGUAAGGUUUGUUCACAUCAUCUAAGGAAAUUUUUUUAUUUGAAGCUGAUCUAAGGGAAGUUCAAAUACAAGUCUCGUUACUAGCUGUCUCUCAUUAGUAUGUAAUCUAUAAGAAUUGCUAUAAAGCACUCCAUAUGACAUAUGGAGGAUUUCAAGGUGCUUCACAUGACAUAUGGAGAAUUUCGAGAAGAAUUUGUCGUGCAAUUUCCUAGCAUUGUUUGUACUGAUAAAUACGUCAUUAUCCUGCUCUGAAAUUGAAAUAAGAUAAUACUUUUCUCCACCCAAACCUUAUUAUAACCAAAAAGAAAUUAAGACUACAUGCUUUUUGUGGCGUCCUAUUAGGACUUGUUUUGAUCAAACUAAUUGAAAACAAUGGUUGUAUCGAGAUUUGUUGCUCUGUUACUAACUUAGUGGAGCAACAUUGUAUUCCUACUUUAUUCUAAAGAGGGCUGAUGAACUUCAAAGUUUAUGAUGGCUAUUUAAUGGUGGAGCAAAUACAACGAAUUCAUUUAUGUUUCGACAAUUAGCGUGAAACUGUUGAUCUAUAGAAGAAAAUUAUACUGUUUUUAAUGUGAAUGAGUUAUGGAUCCAGCCUUGAUAAGUUUAAGUUAAUUAAAGUAGCCACAUACAAUGAGGCUAAAUUAUAAUUUAGCCCCUUUAUUCACAAAGUAUGCAGAUCAAACCCCAUGACUAAUAGUCAAAGCCAUGAAAUGAACUUUGGUUUAUGUCAGUAGCUGAAAAGACAAUUAUGCCAUCAGAAUUUCUAGCCUUGAUAACUUCACCCUUCUCAUGCCAUCGGAUAAAAUAGCAUUCUCCUAUUGGAGGAAAUAUGUUAUUUGAAAAAGUUAUAUGCAGGACUCCCAAGUUUUUACCCCUUGAAGUUUGGUAGCCUCAACUAAGCAUUUUGACAGGUGGUCAAAUCCAAAGGAGUAUGCUCAACUCUGUUCUCAAUGUCAUAACGACCAAUUUAUCCAUUACUAACUAUUAUACCCUGUCUGGGUAUAAUAGCAACCAAUCUGUGUACAGUUACAUCCAUAACAUCUAAAUUCAAUAAUUUUCUAAACUCGUAUGGUGGUGCAUCAAAGAAUUUAAGUUAAAAUUUAAAAACUGAAAUCUGAAGUUUGAAUUCAUUAAGUAAUUAAAUUGUUAACUACUAAAUAUGGUACAUUUGGGUGUAUUUUACAUUAUGUGAUAAGUGAAUAACUUAUCACUUAUUUUUUUAGAAUUUAUCUUUCUUACAUUGACAGUGUAUACACUAUCUUUCCUACAUUUUUUUUGGAAUUAAUCUUUCCCUCGUGCCAUUCAUGCUUCAAUUCUCUCUUCCAUUGUUUAGCUAGCCAACUGUUUAUAUGCUAAAUUAGAGUGUAGUGUGGGAUUUCCUCAGGUGCCUUGUCAUUCAGCCCCAAACUCACAUUUUAGUCUGAUUCAAUGAUCAUAUUUUUGCAACAAAUAUCCCUUGCCAUACUCAACCCAUAAAUGAUGGCCCAUAGUUCUACUACCAUGUUAUUUGUAGUUCCCAAGCUGAUACGAAACCCAUUCAUCCAGUAAGCCCCUUCAUCUCUAAUUAGUCCUCCUGCUCCAGCUUGUCCUAUACUGUUGCUUGAUGCUCCAUCCACAUUUAGUUUCACCAACCAAUUUGGGGCUUACUCCAAUUGAUAAACUUCAGCUCCUUCUGUACUGCUCUAUGAUAGUUGGUGAGAGAUUCCUGACUGAAUUCGGCUUGGGCUAUCACUAUUUAAGCAUUGAUUUUAUCUUAGUUGCAGUAAUAUAGGUUCCCAGCAUACCAGGCAAAAUAAAAAAGUUCUUGAAUCAAACACCUGCCAAUCUUCAUCUUCUAUCUCUACAAUGUCAUAUUGUUUUAAGCUCCAGUCAAGCCAUUCUUCCAGAUUUGGGUUCCUAAAUUUCUCCAUCGACUUGGUAGAUUAGUUUCUUCCAUAUUGUUGAUAUCCAGUCAUAGCCUAGCAAUCCAUAUUCAUAAUUGUUGAAUUACAUUGACCAACUUUUUUUUAUUAUAAAACAUCAUCAUAACGUUAAAUCUAUACUAAUAGCACAAAUUACAUCAAUCAUGCACAAAUACAAAUAGAUCUGAAAAACAAAUCUUGAUAUUACAAAUCUAAAAAAUUAAUAGAAUAUUACACUGUGAAACUACAAUAAUAUCAAAAGAUAAAACACUUAUUGCCCCAAUAUCAUCUAUGCAUGCUUCCAACUGUUUUGCUUUUUUCUUCCAGAUCUACUAAUUAACUGAUUUAAAUUUAUAUGUUAAAGUGAGAUCUAACGAGGUAGAUCUAAAAGAUUUCAGAUCCGACAACCAAAUAUGCAAAAACUUAGAUCUAGUACAAAAAAUAGAAAAAAAAACUACAAAAGCUAUCAUUAGAAAUUUUUAGGAGAGGAGAAAACUGUCAUUCAAAAUUCCUAAGAGAGAAUAAACUCUCACUGGGAAACUCCAUGAGAGGAGAAUAACAUCUUUUGCUACUAGAAUAACAUUACCCUCAGGGAUCUAGUGUGCUUGUUGAGGCUGAUGUAGAUGAAGAUGAUGUUUCUAGAUUUAGAAGGCUGUGUAUGUGCUUAGAACUAAUAAAGAGAGGUUUUUUAGCUGGCUGUAGAAAGUGAAUUGGGUUAGAUGGUUGCUUCCUAAAAGGUCCACAUGAUGGACAACUUUCAUUAGGAGUUGGAAUGGAUGGUGAUAACAAAAUGUUUCCAUUGGCUUUGUUAGUUGUUGGGGUAGAAAAUUAUGAUAACUUGAGUUGGUCUUUAAGAUUGCUUGUACAAGAUUUGAAAAUUUCGGACUCUAGUACUUGGUGCAUUAUGAUUGACAAACAAAAGGUAGUAUGUAUUAGCUAUAUUACCAAAUCAAAUUUUGUUGUUAUGUUAAACUAUUGAUAUUAAUGUGGCAUAUGUGAUUGUUGUGCUGUGUUGCACAAAGUCUAGUUCAAGCAGUUACGGACAAACUUCCACAAGCUGAGCAUAGCUAUUGUGUCCAACACCUUUACACCAACUUCAAGCAAAUGCACAGAGGCCUUGCUCUUAAAGAAAGGCUUUGGAGAUAUGCAAGGGCUUCAUAUAUAACUCAGCUCAAAAUAGAAAUGGAGAUGAUGAAGCAAGAAUCAAAGGAUGCAUAUGCAUGGUUGGAUGAAAAGGACCCUAAUACUUGGUCUAGGGUUCAUAUCAAGACUGGAUUAGAUUGCGAUAUAUUGGUUAAUAUUAUGUGUGAAUCUUUUAAUUCAAUUAUUUUAAAGACAGGAUCAUUGCCUAUUGUAGGCAUGUUGCAGACUAUUUACUUACAUGUGUUAAAGAGAAUGGAGAAGAAUAGAGAGACAAUGUCCAAGCAUGAAGGUUAAGCUACUUACUUACUAUUUUUUAUCACAAUUUUUAAAGUUACACUAUGUUCAAUAUCUAAUUUGCUCUUUUAUUUUUCAGGUCUCUUAUGUCCAGCAAUUUUUGACAUUCUUGAGAAGGCCAAGAAAGAGCAAUGCAUGUACAUUUGCUACUAUGCUAGCACGAUGAAGUAUCAAAUAUGUUGUCCUUUUAGUGACCAGUUUGCCGUUGAUUUGGGGAGCAAGACCUGCACUUGUAGAAAAUGGCAGCUGAGGGGAAUCCCAUGUGGCCAUGCAGUUGCUGCUAUUAAUAGGAGACGUGCCAAAUCAGAAAAAAAAUAUAGCACCCACCUACUGGAAGAGUACAUACAUGAAGAGUUAUGAACCUAUGUUGAAUCCAAUUAAUGGUCCUAAUCUGUGGGCCCAAGUAGAUUUACCACUAAUGAGGCCUCCAAAAUAUGGGAAAUCACCUGAAAGACCAAAAAAGCUGAGGAAAAAAGGACCAGAUGAAGAUAGGAACAAGCAGUUAUAUGUGAAUCCAUCUAAACCACACAAAGUCAGCAAGAUUGGCACUAAGAUGAGUUGUAGUUUGUGCAAGAAAUACGAACAUAAUAGGAGAAGUUGCCCUAAAAAAACCAGCAAACUGCUGCAGUAGAAAAGAGACCAGAUGGGCAUAUGGAUAAAGAAUCUAGUGGGAACAGCACACAUCAAACAGAUGCCAUCAGAAAUGAAACAAGGCAUACUAGUACUAGUCCAAGUACUGCUAAUGUCACUCAAUUAAGUACAUAAGAGAGCUGCACAGCUGCUCCUCAAAAUCAGAUUGAACAGAAAAUUGAUGGAGAACAACCAAUCAAGGGCACAAGAAAAUGCUCAUUUUGCAGGAAACCUGGCCAUUCGAAGAAAGGUUGUAAGUUGAGGCAAUGAAUCUUUAGAAACUCACUGGACAUGACUGGAGAACUUGUACUCAACAGUGUUGCAACUGAUUCUCUGAUUAAACCAUAUGAGACAGCUUCAAAGGAAAUUGAAUCUGGACAUGUCAGUGCUUUGAAAUUUGCAUUUGUUGCUGUGUGAGAUACAAAUAUGUUCACUCUCCUAUUAACUACUUGUUAUCUCCUGACAUGUAGUUGAACUCCAAUACUGGUGACAAACUUUAUUCACAUAAUCCAGGGAUAACAAUGAAACCACAAGACUCAUACAUUGAUGAUAGGUAGACAGAAGAGUUGGGUUCAACUAGUCGUGUCACCAGACGACUUCAACCAACCCUCUUCACUUGGAGGGGAAACAUGUGCGUAAAUCUAUCUAUAUUGCAGGCAGCAGCAGGUCAUAUGAAUAAUUCAACUAGCAUUGGCCAAUGUUCAGCUCUAUAGGAAUGCAAAUGAAGCUGCAAAAUUAGAAAAUUUAAAUCACACAAGAAAAUAGUUGUGUUUUGUAAAUGGCAAUGUGCUGCAGCUCUAUGUUUAGCUAGGUUUUGCGAAUUUCUAUUGCUAUAAAUUGUUCACUGUAUAUUUUGGGGAGCUGAUGUUUUGUAAAUGGCAACUGAUGUUGUAAACGCCAAGAAAUUUUUGCUAUUGUUUUGUAAAUUUGUGAAACGUCUGGUCUUUUGGUGUAAGGCUAAACAUGCCUUCUUCUUAAAUGAUCAAAUUCAGUCCAUUUUCAAUUGCAUCUAUUGUCUCAAACAAUUGGUGGUGUUACAAAUGUUUACAGGUUUAUCAUUUACUGUCAAAAAUAGUUCAAUAAGUUGGGACACUUCAAUCCCUCAACUAUACAAAAAGGGAUAGUUCAAUCCCAAUGCUUCAUUAGCUAGGGACACUUAGGUCCCUAAAGUUCAACAAAAGAGCACAUAAUCCCCUAAACUAAAAAUUGUAUCCAAAAUUAGUGAACCAAGUGCUCCUUCAAGCAUAUGCUACAUUACAUCAGAACCGCAGCUUAUACAGAGAGACAAAAAUUACGGGUCCGUUUGGAUCCCUUGUUUUUGGGGCUGUAUUUGAAAAACUGUUUUUCAUAUUCCAAAUGCUACGGUAAAUGUGUAUCUCCAAAAUAACUCCAAAAACACCAUAUCCAAACAUUAUAUCAAAAACAACUAUGUAUGUAUAUUUCAAUUAUGUAUAUUAUAUAUAUUAUAUUAAUAUAAAUUGAAAUAUACAAAUUGAAAAUUAUAUAUAUUAUAUAUUAUAUAAAUAUUUAUAUACAUUAAUAUUAUGCAUAAUAUUGUAUAUUAUACAUAAUACAAUAUAAUAAACAUAAUAUGUAAUAUUGUAUACAUAAAUGUGUAAAUAUUUAUACAUAAUAUAUUAUGUAUAUUAUAUUAUAAUAUAUACAUUAUUAAUGUAUAAUAUUAUUAUGUACAGUAUUGUGUAUAAUAAUGUAUAAUAAUGUUAUGUAUAAUAUUUAAUAUACAUAAUAUGUAAUAAUGUAAUAAUGCAUAUUAUGUAUGAUAUAUUAUAUUAUAUUAUAUUAUGUAUAUUAUAUUAUAUAUAUACAAUAUUAUGUAUAUUAUACAAAUUGAAAAUUAUAUAUUAUAUAUUUAUAUAUUAUAUAUUACAUGAAUAUUUAUUUAAUGAAAUAUACAAUAAAUAUUACAAAUUGAAAUAUUACAUAAACACCAUAUUUAUAAUAUUAUAAUAUUUAUAAUUAAUAUUAAUGUAUAUUAUAUAUAUUAAAUAUUUAUAUAUUUAUUUAUACAUAUUAUAAACAUUUCAUUUUAUUUAUAAAUUACUUUUAUAUAUUUAUAAUAUAUUUAUAUGAAUAUUAUACAUUAUAUAAAUUAUAUAUAAUAUAAUAUAUAUUAUAUAUUAUAUAUUAUACAUUUAUAUAAAUUUAAAUUUAUACAUAAUAUAUAUUAAUGUAUAUUUAUAAUAUACAAUUAUAUUAUGUAUUAUAUAUAGUAUAAUACAUUUAUACAUUUAUAUUAAUAUACAUAAUAUUAAUUUUACAUUUAUACAUAAUAUUAAUACAUUUGUACAUUAAUAUUAAUUAUAUUAAAACAUUUAUACAUAAUAUUAAUAUAUAUUAAUAAAAUUAUAAUUUAUACAUUUAUAUAAUAUUCAUUUGUAAUUUAUACAUUUAUAAUAAUAUACACUUAUACAUUUAUAAAUAUAUUUAUAUUAUGUAUUGUAUAUAAUAUAAUACAUUUAUAUAUUUUUAUAUAAAUACAUAUUUAUUUAUUUAUAAAUAUUUAUAAAUGUCUUAUAAAUGCAUAAAUGUAUAUUUAUAUAAAAAUAUAAAAAUUAUAAAUUAUAAUUUAUACAUUUAUAAUUUAUACAUUUACAAUAAUAUACACUUAUACAUUUAUUAAUGUAUUUAUAUUAUGUAUUAUAUAUAAUAUAAUAAAUAUAUAAUACAUUUAUAUAUUUUUAUAUAAAUAUACAAAUAUAUUUAUUUAUAAAUAUUUAUAAAUGUAUUAUAAAUGCAUAAAUAUAUAUUUAUACAAAAAUAUAAAAAUUAUAAUUUAUACAUUUAUAUAAUAUUCAUUUAUAAUUUUUACAUUUAUAAUAAUAUACACCUAUACAUUUAUAAAUAUAUUUAUAUUAUGUAUUAUAUAUAAUAUAAUACAUUUAUUUAUACAUUUAUAUACUUUUUAGCAAAUAAAUAAAUACAUUUAUUUAUAAAUAUUUAUAAAUGUAUUAUAAAUGCAUAAAUGUAUAUAAAAAUUAUAAAUUAUAAAAAUACCCAAAAAUAUGUUUUAAAAAUACCUCUAAAAAUAAUCAAAAAAAUCUAUAGUAAAAGUUUUUCAUAUAAUUUUUGAAAAAUAACACCAAAAACAACUAAUCUAAAUGGACUUGUAUUUCAAAAACGAAAUGCUACAGUGCUGUUUUUGAAAAAUAACUCCAAAAACAGCUAAUCCAAACGGAGCCUCAUCUUUUCCAUCCCAAUUACAUAGCACCAUCAUGCAUUGCAUUGCAUGUUGCACUAUGUUAUUCUACUACACCAUUGCUUCUUUUCCCAUAUAGAUGGACAUGAUUCUUGUCAAACUCCAAUGAUGACCUUUAUGGCCCAGAUUUGAACAAAAGCAUCCAUAUAACAACAACAACCCAGUGAAGAAACAAGUACAUCUUUAGCUUCCUGCAGUUUUGAGUUCUCUUGCAACCUCUCAAUCUUAGAUUUCAAUUUGUUUUUUGUUCUUAUUAGUCCAGGGAUUAUAUCCUUGGACCUUUGACACAUCUCAGGAUCCACCCAAUUCCAAUAACUGCAUUCCCCCGUUUCCUACAUUAACAACACCAUUGAGAGAGUAAAUACAGGUUUACUUAGGUGUAUUGCAUACAAAUCGGAACCAUAGGAGAAGAAGUACAAACAGAUAUAAUGGAAAUGGAAUUAUCCUGUAAUUUGGACAUCGACAAAACCUUCUUCUUGGGUUUAAAUAUGUCCAUGAUGCCAUCAUCAAUGCUUGUUUUCCAUUGUUGCAUGUGUCCCUAACCAUCUCUCCUUUGUCUUCUUUUCUUAUCUUCAGGUUUUCUAAAGCUCUCAACCUCUUAGUUCUUACCCCUCAUUUGGAUAUUCAGCCAAUUGCUUUCUUUUUUAUUAGGGCACAUCUCUUCCCUUUUAUGUAUUGGAUUGAGUCAAUUAUAUCACCCAAAUGUGCCUGAUAAAAGGAGGGAAAGUUUCCCUCCUUUUCGCUCCUUUGUGCUAAAUAAAUUUCUUUCUUUUUAUACAUUUUCUUGGAAUUUACAUCCCUACCCUUGGUCAAUGGCGCUUGUUUUGCACGCUCAGAUAACCCUGACGAUUUUGUGGAUUUUGUCAACAAUUUUACUUAAUUGGGACGGAUUCAGUAGUUUGAGGAUCUAAGUGUCCCAUUUUAAAGUUUAGGGACUGAAAUGGAAAAUCGGAUAUAGUUUAGGGGGUCAAAAUAGAAUUUACCCAAUUUCAUUUGGUAGUCAACUAAGGAAAGGGACUUUCUGAAAUUGCUAGGCAAUUGCAUCAUACAAUUGAUGACCCACAUGGUGGUGGUGAAUUUGAAAUUGGAUACAUUGCUUGUCAAGACACAAUUAGUUGCACUGAAGAGGAACAUUCAUUUUAAUUUGCAUAUUAUUGUAUUACUAGUAUUUUUGAGAUUGGGUUCACUUGGUAAGGUUUGUUCAUAUCAUCUAAGGAAAGUUUUUUUAUUUGAAGCUGAUCUAAGGGAAGUUCAAAUACAAGUCUCGUUACUAGCAGUCUCUCAUUAGUAAGUAAUCUAUAAGAACUGUUAUAAGGCACUCCAUAUGACAUAUGGAGGGUUUCAAGGUGCUUCAUAUGACAUAUGGAGAAUUUCGAGAAGAAUUUGUCGUGCAAUUUCCUAGCAUUGUUUGUACUGAUAAAUACGUCAUUAUCCUGCUCUGAAUUGAAAUAAGAUAAUACUUUUCUCCACCCAAACCUUGUUAUAACCAAAAAGAAAUUAAGACUACAUGCUUUUUGUGGCGUCCUAUUAGCACUUGUUUUGAUCAAACUAGUUGAAAACAAUGGUUGUGUCUAGAUUUGUUGCUCUGCUACUAACUUAGUGGAGCAACAUUGUAUUCCUAAUUUAUUCUGAAGAGGCUGAUGAACUUCAAAGUUUAUGAUGGCUAGUUAAUGGUGGAGCAAAUACAACGAAUUCAUUUAUGUUUCGACAAUUAGUGUGAAACUGCUGAUCUAUAGAAGAAAGUUAUACUGUUUUUAAUGUGAAUGAGUUAUGGAUCCAGCCUUGAUAAGUUUAAGUUAAUAAAAGUAGCCCCACAUGGGCCAACUACAUCAUACAAUUGAUGCCCCACAUGGUGGUAGUGAAUUUGAAAUUGGAUUAAUAAAAUUGAUUGUCAAGCCACAAUUAGUUGCACUGAAGAGAAACAUUCAUUUUGAUUUUGCAUAUUGUUGUAUUACUGGUAUUUAUGAGAGUGGAUUUAGUUGGUAAGGUUUGUUCACAUUAUCUAAUGAAAUUUUAAAUACAAGUGUCGUUACCAGUAAUCUCUCAUUAGUAAACAAUUUAUAAGAACCACUACAAGACACUUCGUAUUAGGGAUGCAAACCUCAAAGUUUGCAACAUUGUAUUCCUACUCUAUUCCUAAGAGUUUGAUGAACCUCAAAGUUUAUGAUGGCUAGUUGACGGUGGAAUAAACAAAACAAAUUAAUAUAUGUCUCGACAACUAACUUGAUUUAUAGAAGAAAGUUGUAGUGUUUUUAAUGUGAAUGAGUUAUGGAUCACGGCUUGAUAAGUUUAGGUUAAUUAAAGUAGCCACACGCAAUCAGGCUCAAUUAUAAUUUAGCCCCUUUAUUCACCAAAUGUGCAGGUCAAACCCCAUGACUAAUAGUCAAAGCCAUGAAAUGAACUUUGGUUCAUGUCAGUAGCUGAAAAGACAAUUAUGCCAUCAGAAUUUCUAGCCUUGAUAAGUUCACCCUUCUCAUGCCAUUGGAUAAAAAUAGCAUUCUCCUAUUGGAGGAAAUAUGUCAUUUGAAAAAGUUAUAUGCAGGACUCCCAAGUUUUUACCCCUUGAAGUUUGCUAGUCUCAACUAAGCAUUUUAACAGGUGGUCAAAUCCAAAGGAGUAUGCUCAACUCUGUUCUCAAUGUCAUAACGACCAAUUUACCCAUUACUGCCUAUUAUACCCUGUCUGCGUAUAAUAGCAACCAAUCUAGGUACAAUUACAUCCAUAACAUCUAAAUUCAAUAAUUUUCUAAACUCGCCUGGUGGUGUGUCAAAGAAUUUAAGUUAAAAUUUAAAAACUGAAAUCUGAAGUUUGAAUUCAUUAAGUAAUUAAAUUGUUAACUACUAAAUAUGAUACAUUUGGAUGUAUUUUACAUUAUGUGAUAAGUGAAUAACUUAUCACUUAUUUUUUUAGAAUUAACCUUUCCUACACUAACAGUGUAUACACUAUCAGUUUUGGAUGAAUGACAACUAUGUAAAAUCUGAAUUUGAAUCCAACUUUUGCACAUGUGUCAUAAAUCUAACGGUGAUAGUGUAUACACUGUCAGUGUAUAAAAAAUUUACCCUUUUUUUAGAGUGUGUUUUGACUAGAAAAUUUAGUGCCAUUUAAUUAAUCCAAAUGUUCUAUUUUUUAUUAUCAAAUGCAUCCGAAUAUAUUACGAUCUGAAUUCGUUAAAUUUAAGUGUUAAAUUGGAUUAUCAAAUGGAGAUUUAGUUUUGCUAAAUAAUCCGUGCACUUGUUACCCUCGUGCCAUUCAUGCUUCAAUUCUCACUUCCAUUGUUUAGCUAGCCAACUGUUUAAGUGCUAAUUUAGAGUGUAGUGUGGGAUUUCCUCAGGUGCCUUGUCAUUCAGUCCCAAACUCACGUUUUAGUCUGAUUCAAUGAUCAUAUUUCUGCAACAAAUAUCCACUUGCCAUACUCAACCCAUAAAUGAUGGCCCAUAGUUCUACUACCAUGUUCUUUGUAGUUGCCAAGCUGACUCCAGUAAGCCCCUUCAUCUCUAUUUAGUCCUCUUGCUCCAGCUUGUCCCAAACUGUUGCUUGAUGCUUCAUCCACAUUUAGUUUCACCCAUCCAAUUUGGGGCUUAUUCCAAUUGAUAAACUUCAGCUCCUUCUGUACUGCUCUAUGAUAGUUGGUGAGAGAUUCCUGACUGAAUUCGGCUUGGGCUAUCACUGUUUGAGCAUUGAUUUUAUCUUUAGUUGCAGUAAUAUAGGUUCCAGCAUACCAGGCAAAAUAAAAAAGUUCUUGAAUCAAACUCUUGCCAAUCUUCAUCUUCUAUCUCUACAGUGUCAUGUUGUUUUAAGCUCCAGUCAAGCCAUUCUUCCAGAUUUGGGUUCCUAAAUUUCCCCAUCUACUUGGUAGAUUAGUUUCUUCCCUAUUGUUGAUAUCCAGUCAUAGCCCAGCAAUCCAUAUUCAUAAUUAUUGAAUUACAUUUGACCAACUUUUUUUUUUAUUAUAAAACAUCAUCAUAACAUUAAAUCUAUACUAAUAGCACAAAUUACAUCAAUCAUGCACAAAUACAAAUAGAUCUGAAAAACAAAUCUUGAUAUUACAAAUCUAAAAAAUUAAUAGAAUAUUACACUGUGAAACUACAAUAAUAUCAAAAGAUAAAACACUUAUUGCCCCAAUAUCAUCUAUGCAUGCUUCCAACUGUGUUGCUUCUUUUCUCCCAGAUCUGCUAAUUAACUGAUUUAAAUUUAGAUGUUAAAGUGAGAUCUAACGAGGUAGAUCUAAAAGAUUUCAGAUCCGACAACCAAAUAUGCAAAAACUUAGAUCUAGUACAAAAAAUAGAAAAAAAAACUACAAAAGCUAUCAUUAGAAAUUUCUAGGAGAGGAGAAAACUGUCAUUCAAAAUUCCUAAGAGAGAAUAAACUCUCACUGGGAAACUCCAUGAGAGGAGAAUAACAUCUUUUGCUACUAGAAUAACAUUACCCUCAAUUUGAUGAGUAAAAGAGUUUCAGAUACUAUCCUCAUCCACCAAGCUUCACAAACAAACUGAAAAAUAGUAGAACACAAAUGCAUCCAUACAAUGGUGAAGUACUUUUAAAUUCGACAUUGCAAGACAAGGAAUGUGAACGCCUAGGAUGAAAUAUGCAAAAAGAUUCUUGAAGACCACAGGCUACGAGUCUUGAUUAGGCACUUCUCUGCUGUAAAAUUUUCCCACUACUCUGGAGUCCAGAAUUACAAUGGCUUUCUCAGACUUUAUGUUCUUAGGUGUCUUGUACUGGUUUAAAGAAGUUCCUUGGGAAACAUAAAAGUCCAUGAGCACGUUGAAUGUUCCUUGUUUCACAACUCUAAUUUCCAAUGGACCAAUGGCACUGAUGCUCUGAUUCCUCAGCCACUUAUAUUUCUGGUCCAGAGAUUGUUCCACUAAACUACAACAUUUUUCCAUUUUAACCUGAUCAAGUUCAGGUGUAUCAUCGUUUGGUCUGAGUUGAAGCUCCCAAAAGAGUACAUAGUGACCAGGAAUAGAAGAUGUAUCAGCAUAGCUACUGUAAUCCAAAAGAAAGAAGCCAAGUGGUUGAAGGAUCUGCAUUGCUAUUGCAACUGCUUUUUGGAGGUCUUGUUCAGUUGUUUUAUCUGUGUGAAUACUCAAAACCACAUUUGUCCUUUGUACAAAUUUGAAUUGGGGAGUGGAAUUGUGAAAACCUGUCACCAGGAGAAUAUCCUCCAUUCUGUACCUGUACAAACCUGAAAAUACAUUCUUCCAUCAAUAUUCUAGACAUUAGAGCAUUUAAGCAUUUAAACUGUCUAAUAAUCAUUGGUUGUGUAUCAGGAUAAUAAAUGUACAGAAAAACCAGAAUGUAAUAAACCUAUAUUCGACAAAUUUGAACAUCAGAACAAGUUGUGCACAUUAGAUGUCCAAGGCAAUUGUUAAGUAGAAAUUAAUGGAACUACUAUCCAUUUUAGAACAUGAUAAAGCGUUUAAAAUGGAGACCAGUAGACACCUUGAAGAGGCACUUCUGUGUUUUAUCGAAUACUUUUUCAUGGGUCAGACUAACAGAAUUAUAGUUCACAUCUGUGGCACACCACAGGCAGUUAGGGUCGAUUCAAAAGUACAGUGAUCUCACCUGUAAAGGUCGUGACAAGAAGUUCGUAAUGUUGGCCAAUCUUAACAUUAGCAAGAUCCACAAUGUGAUCUUUCAAAUGAGCAUCUUUCCUGUUGGUGCAGUUUGGAUCUUGAUGAUUGUCAAUUGGUAAGAACUCAUAGUAGGCCAUGUUUGGUAUAAAAGUAUACGAGACAUCAUAAGGACUGCACAAGGGUUUCAUGUUUAUCCCAAAAAAUGCCUCUGAAGAACCAUAAAGUGAUGAAACUACAGGUAACCCACCCGUAUAGAACUCAAGUGCAGGGAUAUAUUGUGCCAUGGACCCUGUAAUAGUGGCCAGGACAUACUUGGUCCUUGGCCAGAUCUUCUUAAUUAUCCCUUCCCAAGACUUUUCUUGGCAUACAAGAUCAAUUGAAUCAGCCAAAUCCGGCAUUUGUUUGCUCAAAAUCAAGGAGACAGCCCUUUUGCAGUUAGGGUCAGUGAUCCAAGCACUUAUUUGUCCAGUUCUUAUGUUGGAAGACAUUUCUUGCCAAUGUUCCUCAAAAAAUUUGAUUAUCCUUAACAAACCCGAGGCGAAAAAAGUACCAACGCUUACUAUCGCAUCUCGCUGCACAAGGCCACAAAGUAAUUGACUAUACAAGCUCUGAUUGGUAUCUUCACACAAUAUAAACUGAGGAUAUCUGUCUUUUCUAUUCUUUAUCUCGCUUUCUGAGGCUGUUCUUAAAACUAAGCCACCAGGAGUGUGGAUAUCCGGGUUGAUAAGGACAAAUAACAGCGCUUUCCCAUCGCUCAAGCCCUGUAGGUACCUUAGUUCAAAGCUAUACGUUUAGCACUUUUUGUUUGACUCUUAUAAUUCUACUGAAGAAAUAACAACUGUAUAUUCAUUGCAUUAGACUUUACCUGUUUAAAACAGUAUCACGGAGACAACAAAUAAAGGCCCUGCGCUCUCCCUCUUCAGCAGUUUUUGGAAUCCACUUUUGCUUCCCACCUGAAGUGCCCGAGCUGCCAACGAAGUUAAUGAUUUCAGUUAAGAAAAACAAGAAAUUCAUGAAAAAGAACAGAAAUGACUCGUGCUUCAGCAUUAUUGAUCUCACUCCAUUCAGGAGUUUCCUUUCAUCUAAUUAGAACAAAACAAAGAAACUGAAUUUACCUUUUGAGUAGCUCAGUAAUGGAUUCAUUAGUUAAAAUCCGAGAUGGCUCUCCAUCCAGUGCAAUUCGAUCGAUGUAAAUCUUGAUAUCUUCAUAAUCUACCACAGGAACUUUAUUCUUGAAUAGUCCCUUAUCAGAGUGACCAUUAAGAAAACCCUUCAAGUAAUCAGUGCUUGCAUUUUUAGUUAAAAUCUCCUCCAGGACCUGUUCUUGUAUAUGACCAGCAUUGCUGGUUAUAUCCUCCAAAAUCCUCGAACCAGCUUCAGUAUCUGUUGGAUCAAAAGUUGGCAGCAUUCUGGUAAAGAAAAGAAAUGCAGAAUCUGAGCUUGGGGAUGGGAAAUAUACAGGGAAAUUAAUUAAUGAAUAAGCACGCUCAACUACAUUGUCUUGAGGAAAAGAUUCACGCCAUGGUUAAGCCCUUUUAAACCCAUUGGCCAGGUGAUCCAUCCUUUCAUCCUCAUUCCCUUCUCCAAGAUGCCUAGUUAGCGUGCCGUAUGUUACCAUUGUAAAUUUGUAAUGGUGUAAACAGAAAAACUCAUUGAGUUGCUUAGUCUCCUUAUGCUAUGCUCAUCACUUGCACAAUCCAAAAUCACCAAAUGAUCUUGAAUGUACCUUCGAUCGAGCUCUUGUGGAUCUAUAUCCAUGCUUGAGUUCAAUCAAAAUCGAAUUCAAAUCGAGUUCGAGUAAUUUGAGUUGCUAUACGAAUUGAGUUGGAUCUCCAUAUAAUAUUCCUUAUUUAGCUUAUAGAGUUUUUAUGUAUAUUUUGUCGAGCAAGCUCAAUCUCGAGCUUCAGCUUGUCCUCAUAAUUUUCUUGAGUCAAACUCAAGCAUGAACACGUGAUGUUCAUUGAACUUGAACUGGGACUCAACCAUAAAUUAAUUUUCUUUGAUCUUGAGUUCUAGUACCUCAAUAUUUGGGCUUGAUUUGGCAAAUAACACCCCUACAGAAGUGAUCCAAAAUUUAAAUGAAUGGCACAUUUCUAGUCAUAAAAGGAAGCUUAUUCGUAUGCAUCUUCCAAAAUAUGGCAAAAAUAUACUAGAUACCAGUUGUAUUCUGCAAUACAAUUAAUAGCGCAAAUUAUACUUUAUCUCCUGUUGUUUAAUACUUUUCCAUGUAACCCUUCUAUAGUUUCCAAUGCUAUGUAUAAACCCUUAUGUUUGGACUAAAGUUUCAAAAUGAUAGAAAUGGUACUCUGCAAGGGAACCAACUCAUAGGGUGGAAAAAUGAACUUACCUACUCGAUACUCAAAUCAAGGUCACUUGGUAAGAGCUCGUUUGAGUUUGGUUAGCCAACUAGUUAAGCCAAAUUUGAACAGGAUUUUAUCUCAAUAACAUUCAAAUUCAAUAAAAAAAAUUCGUUCAAACUCUGUUCAGCAAAUAAACAAGUCAAGUUUGAACAAAAUUUCAAACUUGUUAAAAUAAUCAAAAAAACUUGAAUAUUAGGGUUUUCAACUUGAUUAGAUUCGUUUACACCCCUAUCAACUAAAAUGUUGAGAUUACCAUCAUUUAGAAACUAAAAUGACUAAAAUUGCCAAAAUAUGUAAACACAGUAUGCAUGACAUUUUAGUCCCUUAUGGUUUAGUGUUUUCCACAUAACUACCUUUUGUUUUUAAAAUCUAUACAUAACAUCUGGUUAACAAAUAGUUUUCAUAUUAACAUAGGGGUAUUUUUGAUAUUUUAGUAGAUUAGGUUACCGAAUGCAAAUUCGGUCAUUUUGACAUUUUAGUCCAAAUCAUGAUGGAGUUACAUAUAGUUUUGAAAUGUAUAAAAGGUUGAUAUGGAAAAGCACUAAAUCACAUGAGACUAAAGGUAUAAUCUAUCCUAAUUAAUACAAAAGUGUUGAUUUUGGGGGUUUUCCAGUAAACGGAGUUGCCAAAUAAAACGUGUAACUAAUGUCACCAAACUUGUCAGCAUGAUAACCAUAACUCUGACAAAUACUGAACCAAAAGAACUACAUAUUAAGACAGGAUUAACAACUUGACUGUAUGAAUCUUGUUGACUUUCGACCUACAAAUGCAAAGCAUUCGAAAAAAUUGUAAAUAUGUGGCCAAGUAAGCAUACAGCAUAGGAAAAAAGAAAAACAUAUGAAUCACAUCAGAAACAACAAGAGGAAAUUAAUCAAGGAAGCCAAUAUACCUCACCUAAAAGGAACAUGAUUGCAUAUAAUCCUACUGCCCAAAUAUACCUCACCUGGAAAAAUCUUGAUUGCACUAUGAUACCACCGCAAAAUCUUGCAGAAAAUGAAGCCCUUGAGACCUAAUUUUUGUCGACUGCUACUCAGUGAUGCAGGCACUAGGGAACAGUGAAGCUGCCAAGGUUGACCAAUUAUCAGUGAUACAGGAAGUUGUUUGCGUCGGUCCCUAUUCAUCAAAAGUUGACCCGAAAUUGUACAUACAUACAGCGAGAGUUAGCAGUUUUAGUUCCCAAUGUUUUGGUCCACGUAUCAAAUUAGUCUUCAAUGUUUAGAUUAAAAGAAAUGGGAGAAUUGUAAUUUUGGUCCUUAACCUAUCACCCAUACGUAGAAUUAGUCCUUAAUCUAUUUUGCAAAGCAAAUGUAGUCCCUUUUUUUUUUUUUUUUUGUCAACACUAGGGUGUUCGGGUCAAUCAUUACGGGCCCGACUAAUCCCCUGCAGCCCGAGAGAGGAGGCUCCACUCCACACUUAGCAUGUUAACAACGGAACUCGAACCCUAGACAAACCAGGAAGGUCGCCAUACCUUAAGGAGGGGGAGCGGACCGCUCGAGCUAUCCUGUAGGAGCAGAAGACCAGCCACGUAAAGUGGCAAGUUUGUGGAAGGCAGAGGUUGAACUCCUGACCUCCAGCCCAAAGAUAGUGAUGACCACUGGACCAAAUGGCCAGUGGCAAGAUCACAAAAAUGUAGUCCCAGUCUAUCCAACUUUGCACAAAAAUAAGCAAUAAGUACAAUGGCUAACUACAAGAAUUUAAAAUCUACAUGCACAAGACAUGCAUCAAUUUGUCUAGUAGUAAUUAUAAUAAACUUAAAUUAUAAAACUAGAAUUCUCCUUUUCUUCCACUACUUUAUAUUUUAUUUAUUAUUGCUAUAUUGUCAUCCAAAUUAUAAUUUAUUUAACAAAGAUAUAUAUAGGCUACCACCAUGCUGCGUCAAUAUAAUGUGGUUUCAUGAAAUUUUAUAGAAAUUUAGGAACACAUUCAUUGUAUAUUUAAUUUAAUUCACAUAUUAUUUUAUUUUUCAAAGCUCUAAUUAUAACUACUUAAAACUCAUAGGACCGUAAUCAUCCAAACUCCAACAUUAGGGUCUAGAAACACGAAUUCAAAACUUUUGACUAACUCCAAUUUGAUAUUAACCAUUAGUUAUGAUGAUUUUCCAUUAGUUGUCCUAAAGCUGUCUUAAAUCACAAAUUUUGGGGAGUAAAUUUAUUUUGUAAAAAUAUUGGGGACUAAUUUGACAUAUAGGCUAAACAUGGGGAACCAGAACUAAUAUUUCUCCCAAAUAGAUAAUCCCUUGUGUUGUGAGAUUAUUAGAUCUUCCCUUACCUAAAAUCCCACUUGUUUUACUUUCCAUUUUAUAUAUAUAUAUUUCAUUUGGUGGCCAACUAGGGGAAGGAACUUUCUGAAAUUGCUAGGCAAUUACAUCAUACAAUUGAUGCCCCACAUGGUGGUAGUGAAUUUGAAAUUGGAUUAAUAAAAUUGAUUGUCAAGCCACAAUUAGUUGCACUGAAGAGAAACAUUCAUUUUGAUUUUGCAUAUUGUUGUAUUACUGGUAUUUAUGAGAGUGGAUUUAGUUGGUAAGGUUUGUUCACAUUAUCUAAUGAAAUUUUAAAUACAAGUGUCGUUACCAGUAAUCUCUCAUUAGUAAACAAUUUAUAAGAACCACUACAAGACACUUCGUAUUAGGGAUGCAAACCUCAAAGUUUGCAACAUUGUAUUCCUACUCUAUUCCUAAGAGUUUGAUGAACCUCAAAGUUUAUGAUGGCUAGUUGACGGUGGAGUAAACAAAACAAAUUAAUAUAUGUCUCGACAACUAACUUGAUUUAUAGAAGAAAGUUGUAGUGUUUUUAAUGUGAAUGAGUUAUGGAUCACGGCUUGAUAAGUUUAGGUUAAUUAAAGUAGCCACACGCAAUCAGGCUCAAUUAUAAUUUAGCCCCUUUAUUCACCAAAUGUGCAGGUCAAACCCCAUGACUAAUAGUCAAAGCCAUGAAAUGAACUUUGGUUCAUGUCAGUAGCUGAAAAGACAAUUAUGCCAUCAGAAUUUCUAGCCUUGAUAAGUUCACCCUUCUCAUGCCAUUGGAUAAAAAUACCAUUCUCCCAUCAAAGGAAAUAUGUCAUUUAAAAAAGUUAAAUGAUGAAGUUUUACCCUUGAAGUUUGCAACUCUUAACUUGAAAUAUAAGCAUUUUGACCGGUGGUCAAAUCUAAACAGGUAUACUCAACUCUGUUCCCAUGGUUAUAAUGACCAAUUUACCCAUUACUAACUAUUUUACCCUCAUGGUGCACAAUCUAAAAUUUUCUUCUUUGGAUUGGUGUUUUCAACCUGACGCAAUAAAUCAAGAAACAAAGAGUUGAAAAUAGCUUUUCUUUUUUCUUUGUUUUCUUUUCUUGUUUGUUUAGCACUUUAGAGACGAGAUUGAUGUAGAAGAAUGCACAGAAGUUUGGCUUUUCACCGGUUGUUGGGAUCAAUUUGUGCUUCCCUCCUGAAGUACCUGAGCUGCAAAUAUUUCUACAAGACUACUCAAAAAUCACAGUGGUAAUAAAACACAAAAAAAAAAAAAAAAAACUUUUUACUUUGAUCAAUGGAAGUAAUUUUCGUAAUCCGUAAUUUACAUUGGCAAUGUGAUUGCACUAUAUUAAAUUUCCUCGGGAUUCUGCACUUCUUGAAAUUCUCAAAUUACUAUAAUCUAUCUACCUUAUGAUUGGCUCAGUAAUGGUUUCAGCAGAUAUUAAAUUAGAUGGCUCUCCAGCAGCUAUUCGGUCAAUGAAAGGCUUGAUAUUUUUUCAUCUUAUAUUAGAUCGGCCACCUAUGAGAGUUACAACAUUAUGAGAAUCCUAUUUUUUAAUAUUUUACAUACAUUACAUUAUAAAUAAUAAUAUAUUAUUAUUUUCAAAGGUUUUUUCAAGUAAUUAUAUAACAAAACAUUCUAUAACACCUCUUGAAUAUGCUGUCAUUCAUUGCAAAAUAUUUGUACAAUUUUAUAGCACAAAUGUAGUGUAACAUCACUGAUCUGACAAAGCCUUUCUAAUACUAUCACUUUACUUGGAGCUGAGAAUUCUGUUGCCGUAAAAAGAAACAAAAUAUUCCAAUAAACUUGAAGAAAAUCAAAAUAUCACCAAGAAAAAUUGAUUAACAAAAGUUUAGUGAUUGAAAAUUGCCAACCAGGGAAAAGGAAAAUACCUCAUUACCAAAAUCUUGUUAUUUUGUCUUCUUUCUUCCUCCCUUAUCCUUAAGAGAAUAAGAUCAAUAGAUUGAUUACAGGAUAAGAAGAAUAAACCCUUCAUUAAACCAAAAGAAAGAAUAACAAAGGAAGGGAUUUAUUUAAACACACUGAAAACAAUAGACUAAAAACCUUCGAAGAACAAUAGCUUUCUUUUUUCGGAUGCCAGUCUCUUAGAGACAGUCUCUUACAAUUUUUUUCUCAUGUACUAGAUUAAGGGGUUCAAACUCAGCCUAGUGCAUUACAAAGAAGUUUCACUGCUUCCUUUGUUCAAAAAAUCUAGGGAGGGCACGUCAAAAAAAUCCAGAGAGUGCAAUAGUGCACUCCCCCUUCCCCAUAAAAUAGAAGUAGUAUAGAUUAUUGCCAUUAGACAAGCAAAAAAAAAGAGUAGGAAAAAGAAAAGCAAACAUACCUGACAUAAAAAAUUUUAUUGUACUGAGAUCCCACGGCAAAAUAAUGUAGAAAAUGUAGCUUUGGGAGGGACUUAGACCUGCUAUUUUGUCCCAAAAGGAGCUGUCUGAACCACUGAUGUGACGAGGAUGUUGGUUUUAAUCUUAUUCAAUAAAUGACGACCGGAUAAUGUCAUAAUUCCUUAUAGUAUAAAACUCUUAUUCGACUUUUUUAUCCUACAGGUUUUAACAUCUGCACCAAGAAAACGAAUGGUUGUUAGCAAUAAUUAUUCUGAACGAUGUAAUAUUUGUUGAACAAGGUAUAAUUCUAGAUGAAUUACUUGUAAAACUUAACAACAAAGACACAAUUAUUACAUAUGGGACAUGCAUGAACAAAAACAAAAUAUCAUAUCUCUGUUGUGUUGUAAGGAUGUAUAAGAAAUUUACAUAGAAUUUCAAAAUGUUCAAAAAAUAUUACAUCUACCUUCCCUGAAGGUUGAUUAAAUUAUCAAAUGAACCCUGUGAUUUGAGCAAAUUACAUUUAUACCCUUGCAAAUAAUAGCGUCUAAACCCAACAACCGGUAGUAAUGAAAUGACAAAAUUGCACCUUGCAAAAUACUACAGUUAUCGCCCUCAAAAUUUGUCCAAAUUUAGAAAAGUUCCUAUACUUUAUUAAAAAAUUGCUUUAAUGUGAUGCAAAAAAAAUGAAACCUAAAUUAAAAGAACUAAAUCAAUUACUAACGACUAAGAAAUGAGCAAAUAAAAAUAAAAUGAGAAAACAUCUUAAUUUUUCCUUUUUGUGACUGACUUAUUUCAAUUGUUACCAUACUCUUUCAACCCACUUUUUCCAUUAUACUAAUAUAUAUAUAUAUAUAUAUAUAUAUAUAUAUAUAUAAUUUGUUGUGUGAAAAUAGUAUUUAGCUACACUAUAUGAAUUUUUAUCCAUAACAUAAUACUAAAUUUUUAUCCUUAAUUCUUAAUAAGUGUCUUUUUAGGAAUUUUACUUCUGAUUUCCAAAUGGAAGCCUUUGUAUGAAAACCUUAACAUUCAGUGCUUAUUAGAGGAUGUAACGCAAUAGGUUUUCUAUUUUGGAAAAAAGAGUUUGAUUAUUUAUACAUUCACAUGAAAAAGUGUGACAGCCCCACCUUACCCUAUGGCGAACCAAAGGGUUUGGCAGACUGCCUGCCCAACUCUCACCGGGACUCAGUCAAACCUCAAUCAAUUCCGAAAUAAAACCACAAGAAUUCGUAUAACCAUAAUCCAAAACUUAAAGCAAAACUCAUAUACAUUGCUAUCUCAAAAGGGAGUACAAGCAUCGAAUAUACAAAGGUUCUCAAUUCUGCAUACAUUCAGUCCGUGCCAAGCACUAGGACGAGAACCAUUACAAAAAAUUCAAAGGCUGAACCAAGUUAGUCUAUACAGAGCUCUCAUCCUUGCUCGUCUUCCCCUGUUAAGGAAAACAAAACUAAAGGAAUGAGCUAAAAGCUCAGUGAGGUUCCGAAUACAUAAUCAAACAAUCAAUCCAAUACAUUAAACAUAGAGUAUCAAUAAUUCAAGAAACAUUUACACUAGAAAGCAAUAAUAAUACAUACAUUAAAAGGAUACGGGCUCACAGGGAGCCAUUUAUUCGUUCGUUCGUUCGUUCUCCUGUCAUUCCCCUUAUUCCUCCAAUCAUUUGAAAAUGCAUUUUUGUAAGUGAAACCCUCGUUCAUUCGUUUAUUUCAUUCACCCCCAAUUCAGCCAAAAGGCUUACAUCAUGCACAAGUAACGUUUCAAUCCUUGAAAUCAUUGAAAAUUUUACAUUUAUUUAGGUCGAGUGUGAUAAAGUACACACUCGCCUAGAAAACUCGUUUUGAAAAUUCUUGAAAGCACUUAACACAUUAUCAAACAAUAACACAAGCCAUGAAGUCAAGGAAAAUAUAGCAAACAAGGAACACUCACCUAUGUACGCAAAAUAACGUCCAAAGUGUUCUUCCGGGUAUUACCCUCAAUCACCAAGGAACCCUAAUAUAAUCAAAAGAACACAUUAUGCUUCAACUAUCAAAGAUUUAAGUGAUUCGAAGAAAAUUCGAAUACGUACUAGUACAAAAUAUAAAUAUGAUUUUGGUAGUGAAAAGAGUACAUUGAAACCAAAGAAUAUAAGUAAAAUAUUUGUAAAACUUAUGCUCACUCGUAAAACUUUAAAAUCUCCAUUUGAGUCGAAGUGACAAAGAAAACAUAUUUCUAUUAGUCGUAAAUUUCAUUUUUUUUCCAAGGGUACAAGUUCUGACUAAAUUCUAACUUAUAUACCUCGAUAAAAGAAGACACCAAUAUCCUAAAUGGUUCAAGUGGUAUUCGCUCUCAAGCCUUGCUCAAGUCGCAAGUAUAUCUACCUAGCCCUCAAGCGAAAAUUUAGGCAGCAUGCCCUUUGUAUUUACCUAUUUUCCAACCAUUUAUAGCUUCAUUGUUUUCCUCAAUCAAUCCCAAAGUCACACACAAAAUCAUCUCAUUUCAAUAGCCAUUCCAUAGGUUCAAAGUCAUACAAGUACAAAAUCAAGUUAGGAACAUGUGCGGAAAUGAAGUUUGCGUCAAGAAACAAAAGACAGUUUUGACGUUGUUUUGCGUAACGGACACAACCGAGACUACGCUUAUCGGAUUGAGGUAAAAUUUAUACCGUUUCGAAGCUAAGACAGAGAUCUACAACUUUGAUGAAGACCACUUAGUCCAGUUCAUAGUGUAUCUAGGUCAAAAUUUCGAAUUACAGAACCAGAAUCUCACAAACAGGUCAGUUAACCACACUAUGCUUAAACGACAAUAACUCAGGCUACCGAAGUCCGAUUGAGGCGUUUCCAGUGGCAUUGAAUAGCUAAGACAUAAUACUAAAACUUUUAUGUUUUGGCUAGAUACUAGUUCAGUACAUAUCAUGGUGAAAAGACACGACAAGAUUGGUGAAAUAUUCAAAACUGAGCACUGGAUUCACCUAGGGCAGUCAGGGUAUUUCGAUCUUUUCACAGUCUACCUUUCUCCGAUUGAAUUGAAAUUUUGUAGGCAAUUAUAAAACAUCAUUCUCUACAACUUUCAUGUUUUAGGCUAAGCCUAAUUCGGCCUCUAACAUGGUGAACUAGAACCGGGCAGAACUGGGUAUAGUUUAACUUCAAUUCUGGAAAUUUGCUACAAUCAAGGUAUAAAUCUCAUUUUUAGCUUGAAAUCAUCACUAUCACCUCUUAUAUCACCUUAUAUACAUCAUAUACCACCCACACAAUAAGUAUGAUAAGUGAAUCAUUCAAACCCUAACUCAAAUUCAUCACCCCCAACAAUCUAAAAUCACUUGAUAUAAGCAUUACAAACACCUUUGAACCACAAAUAAGCUAACAAUGAAUCUAGUAUUAAAAGUAAAGAGAGAUUUCUUGGCAAGAUACCUUAAAACCACAAGAAGAUAGUGGUUUAGUCUUUCCUCCUCCAAAACAACUCCACCACAACCAUCAAGCUUCCUAGUUGAGCACUUGUAUGGUGUAGUUUCAAAUUUGGUUGGCUAAAACUCAAGAUUUGAGCAAGUUUGGAAGCAAGAAAUUGAAGAGCUCUCUUGUUUCUCCCCUCAAGAGAGUCGGCCAAGAAGCAAGAAAAAUGAAGAUAUUUUGGGUCAAAUUUUGGUUUUUAGUAAAGGUGAAAAUGAGGUCAAAGUCCAACCUCCAAUGGGUUUGCAACACUUGGCCCUUCUAGUGUUUUCUCUAAUCCUUUGGCUUCCAAUGGUUACAUCAUAUAACAAAUCUCUAAUUAUCCUCUAGCACCUUGUAUAAUAAUAACACUUAGCACAAAAAUCACUUAGUCACCAAACUUAUAUCGCACUAGCGGGUCCCACAUCUAUAACGCACUUUAAAUUAAUGUACACUAACUCAUACUAGGAAAAAUGAUUUUAAAACUGUACUUGCUUGUAAAAAUGCAAAGAAAUAAAAUAAUGCUGAGAAAAUGUGAAAUUUUUUUUUUUAGGGUUCUCCCAAAAAGAAUUCUUAAUAUAGAAAAUGUAACGCUAGUAUCGUUGUAUAAUUAUAGUCCUUACAUUACAUGUAUCGGAUGAUAAAGGUAUUUAGUGAGUGUUCAUUAGGUGUAAUUGGGAAGAAUGGAAAGUGAGAAUAAAAAGUGAUUGAAAGAGUCAACACCAUCUCUCCCUUUUUGUACUUUUAUCAAAAGAGGUUUAAACAAUACAUUAUUUUUAUAUUUUUUUACACUAAUCUUUCUAACUUUACGUAUUCAUGAGGGGAUACUUGUACUAUAUUUUACGUAUUUUCAUAAUAUCACUCAGCUCCCUUGAGAUUUUUAAAAUCUCAUUUACUUCUCUUAAAUUGACAUUUAUUGUAACAUUUUAGCCCCUUUGAAGGAAAUGCAAGAAAGAUAAAACUUUUAUUCCAGUACUAUCUUUAUGUUAUCUUACUUAUAAAGUUUCCAACAACAAUAAAAAAUACAAUAAGGUUAACUUCUUAUAACAUGUGAAUUUCUUCACUUAAACUAUUUAUUUUAGUUGUUUUGAAACAAAGCAAAAUUUACACCUUGAAAAAUUCACAUAUAUGAAGAGAUUAUUUUAAUUUUUCAAUACAACUUAAACAACAUCAUGUAUUCAAAUGUAAUUUCUAAAAAAAUUUCUUGACUUUCAUAUAACUGUUUACGAAAGUUUUCAAGGUGUUAAUUACACCAAAAUCCUCCUAAGUGGUUGAUUUUAACUAGAUUUAGUUUAUCCACGUCCUUUGUAAUCUCACCAUGAUCUCGAUAUAGAGAAAUAUAGACCAUUAUCAGAUAACAAUUUUUUUUUUGUUCUAAUCUACAUUUUUUGGUUUAAAAAUUUUAUUUUCUUUUGAUUUUUUGGUUAAAUAGUUAUUAAGAGUAAGAGUAAUAUUGUGGAUUUGUGACAUCUGAUAAGAAUAUUUAGUCUUAUCAAAUUGACACGAGAGGCAAGUGAGAUUUUAGAAACCUCAGAGGAGUUGAGUGAUAUUAUGAGAAACCUCAGAGGAGGUUUCUGAAAUCAUCCCUAUUUUUCUACUAAAGUUGCUGCUACUACGAAAAUAAUACACUAGAGAGAUGUAUGCAUUAUUGGACUAUUUUUAUAUGGGGCAAAGAACGGUUUUAGGUUAGGUUUUUGUUUAUUUUCAAUUGUUUAAAUUGGAGCAGCUUACAAUGUAGGAAAAAUUAGAUUGUUGUAUCUAAGAAGCAACAUAUUGAGACCUAAUACAUAAAUAAUACUAUAUAAGGGCGUGAAUCGUUUUAAAAAUAGCGACCUAAUUCAUACCUCCUCUUAUCAUGUCAUAAUUACUUGAAUGAAACUAAUUAUUUUAUUUUUUAUGUUACAUCGAGGAAAGAUGAAUUUUGUUCAUCUUCUAUUUGAAUUUAAUGUUGGAAAGUAUUUAUAAUUACUUAAUUACAUUUGGCGUAGAACCAAUUGGUUAUGAGGAAAACUUCUUCUGCUACUAGAAUAGUUUUACCCUCAAUUUAACGAGUGCGAGAGUUUCAGGUGCUAUCCUCAUCCACCAAGCUUCACAAACAAACUGAAAACAUAGCAGAACACAAAUGCAUCCAUAAUGGUGAAGAAGUACUUGUAAAUAUCAAUGGUGCAAGACCAGAUGUAUAACCGCCUUUGUAUUUCAUCUAGGAUAAAAUGCACAGAAAGAUUCUUCAGCUCUAGGCUACGAUACUUGAUUAGGCAUUUCUCUGCUGUAAAAUCUUCCCACUACUCUGCAGUCCAGUAUUUCAAUGGCCUUUUCAGACUUUAAAUGAAGGAUACUUUAAACCAAAAAAAGUUGCUUUCAAUUGAUAACAAUUAACAAAAUAACACCAUCUCCUAGUGUCACCUUUAUCGCCCAAGAAUUAAAUAAAGAAAUAUAUGUGCUGCAAAAGGGCAUUCCAAGCGAAAGCAAAGUGGAGAAGGGUCAGAUGUAGAUGAUCUUUUCAAAAGAAAGAAAAAUGAAAACCAAAAUUAGUCGUGUUUGUUUAGAUAUUACAAAUCUAGAAAAUUAAUAAAAUAUUACACUGUGAAACUCCAAAAAUAUCAAAAAAUAAAACACUUAUUGCCCCAAUAUCAUCUAUGCAUGCUUCCAAUGCUUUUUUUCUCCCAGAUCUGCUAAUGAGUUGAUUUAAAUUCAGAUGUUAAAGUGAGAUCUAACGAGGUAGAUCUAAAAGAUUUCAGAUCCGACAACCAAAUAUGCAAAAACUUAGAUCUAAUGCAAAAAAUAGCAAAAAACUACAAAAGCUAUCAUUAGAAAUCUCUAGGAGAGGAGAAAACUGUCACUCAAAAUCCCUAAGAGAAUAAACUCUCACUAGGAAACUCCAUGAGAGGAGUGUAACAUCUUUUGCUACAAGAAUAGCAUUACCCUCAAUUUGAUGAGUACAAGAGUUUCAGAUACUAUCCUCAUCCACCAAGCUUCACAAACAAACUGAAAAAUAGUAGAAAACAAAUACGUCCAUACAAUGGUGAAGUACUUUUACAUUUCGACAUUGCAAGACAAGGUAUAUGACCUAGGAUGAAAUAUGCAAAAAGAUUCUUGAAGACCACAGGCUACGAGUCUUGAUUAGGCACUUCUGUGCUGUAAAAUUUUCCCACUACUCUGGAGUCCAGAAUUUCAAUGGCUUUCUCAGACUUUAUGUUCUUAGGUGUCUUGUACUGGUUUAAAGAAGUUCCUCGAGAAACAUAAAAGUCCAUGAGCACGUUGAAUGUUCCUUGUUUCACAACUCUAAUUUCCAAAGGACCGAUGGUACUGAUGCUCCGAUUCCUCAGCAUCUUAUAUUGCAGAUCCAAAGAUUGUUCCACUAAACUACAGCAUUUUUCCAUUUUAACCUGAUCAAGUACAGGAAAGUCAUCAUUGGAUCUCAGUUGGAGCUCCCAAAAGAGUACAUAGUGACCAGGAAUAGAGGAUGUAUCAGCAUAGCUACUGUAAUCCAAAAGAAAGAACCCAAGUGGUUCAAGGAUAUGCAUUGCAAUUGUAACUGCAUUCUGGAGGUCUUGUUCAGUUGUUUUAUCUGUGUCAAUGCUCAAAACCACAUUUCUCCUUUGUACAAAUUUGAAUUGGGGAGUGAUAUUGUGAAAUCCUGUCACCAGGAGAACAUCCCCCAUUCUGUACCUGUAUAAACCUGAAAAUACACGCCUCUAUCAAUAUUCUAGAUAUUAGAGCGAUUGAGCUUCUAAACUCCCUAAUCAUCGUUGUUUAUGUUUAUCAGGAUAAUAGAUGUACGAAAAAGCAGAAUGCAGUACCUAUAUCUGACAAAUUUGAACAUCAGAACAACUCUUGCACAUUACAUAUUGUUAAGCAGAAACAAAUGGAGAUACUUCCAUUUUAGAACAUGAUAAAUAGAUUCAGAUGGAAAUCAGAAGACACCUUCCGGUGAUAAGAUGCAAACAGUUCAAGAGGGAAUUUUGUGUCUGCAGAGUACUUCAUGGGACAGACUAACAGAAUUAUAGUUCACGUCUACAGUAUACCAUAUGCAAUUAGGUCAAUCAAAAGUAUAGAGAUCUUUUUUUAGAUCAAAAGUACAGUGAUCUUACCUGUACAGGUCGUGACAACAAGUUCGUAAUGUUGGCCAAUCUUAACAUUAGCAAGAUCCACAAUGUGAUCUUUCAAGUGAGCAUCCUUGCUAUUGGUGCAGUUUGGAUCUUGAUGAUUGCCAAUUGGUAUGAACUCAUAGUAAGCCAUGUUUGGUAUAAUAGUAUAUGAGACAUCAUAAGGACUGCAUAAUGGUUUCAAAUUUAUCCCAAAACAUGCCUCUGAAGAAACAUAGGCUGGUGAAACUACAGGUAACCUGCCUGUAUAGAAUUCAAGCGCGGGAAUGUACUGUGCCAUGGACCCAGUAAUUAUGGCCUGGACAUACUUGGUCCUUGGCCAGAUCUUCUUAAUUAUUCCUUCCCAAGAUUUUUCUUGGCAUACAAGAUCAAUUGAAUCAGCCAAAUCUGGCAUUUGUUUGCUCAAAAUCAAGGAGACAGUCCUUUUGCAUUUAGGGUCAGUGAUCCAAUCACUCAUUUG
rnacentral:lncRNA from 1 species